AACAUAGGCUUCCAAUAUAUCAAUCUUUAUGUCUCGACCAUUUCGAGACUCCUCGUCAUGUCCGUGAUCACAUCCGGGACUCCGAACUCCUUCGGUAUAUCAAAAUACACAAACUCAUAAUAAUCGUCAUCGAAACCUUAAGCGUGCGGACCCUACGGUUCGAGAACAAUGUAGACAUGACCGAGACACGUCUCCGGUCAAUAACCAAUAGCGGGACCUGGAUGCCCAUAUUGGCUCCUACAUAUUCUACGAAGAUCUUUAUCGGUCAGACCGCAUAACAACAUACGUUGUUCCCUUUGUCAUCGGUAUGUUACUUACCCGAGAUUCGAUCGUCAGUAUCCAAUACCUAGUUCAAUCUCGUUACCGGUAAGUCUCUUUACUCGUUCCAUAAUACAUCAUCUCACAACUAACUCAUUAGUUGUAGUGCUUGCAAGGCUUAUGUGAUGUGCAUUACCGAGAGGGCCCAGAGAUACCUCUCCGACAAUCGGAGUGACAAAUCCUAAUCUCGAAAUACGCCAACCCAACAUCUACCUUUGGAGACACCUGUAGUACUCCUUUAUAAUCACCCAGUUACGUUGUGACGUUUGGUAGCACCCAAAGUGUUCCUCCGGCAGAUGGGAGUUGCAUAAUCUCAUAGUCAUAGGAACAUGUAUAAGUCAUGGAUAAAAGCAAUAGCAACACACUAAACGAUCGGGUGCUAAGCUAAUGGAAUGGGUCAUGUCAAUCAGAUCAUUCAACCAAUGAUGUGACCUCGUUAAUCAAAUGACAACUCCUUUGUCUAUGGUUAGGAAACUUAACCAUCUUUGAUUAACGAGCUAGUCAAGUAGAGGCAUACUAGUGACACUCUGUUUGUCUAUGUAUUCACACAUGUAUUAUGUUUCCGGUUAAUACAAUUCUAGCAUGAAUAAUAAACAUUUAUCAUGAAAUAAGGAAAUAAAUAAUAACUUUAUUAUUGCCUCUAGGGCAUAUUUCCUUCAGUCUCCCACUUGCACUAGAGUCAAUAAUCUAGAUCACAUCACCAUGUGAUUAACAUCGAUAGAUCACAUCAUCAUGUGAUUAACACCCAUAGUUCACAUCGCCAUGUGACCAACACCCAAGGGUUAACUAGAUUCAGUAAUCUAGUUCACAUUGCUAUGUGAUUAACACCCACAGAGUACUAAGGUGUGAUCAUGUUUUGCUUGUGUGAGAAUCUUAGUCAACGGGUCUUUCACAUUCAGAUCCGUUAUGUAUUUUGCAAUUUUCUAUGUCUACAAUGCUCUGCACGGAGCUACUCUAGCUAAUUGCUCCCACUUUCAAUAUGUAUCUAGAUUGAGACUUAGAGUCAUCUAGAUUAGUGUCAAAACUUGCAUCGACGUAACCCUUUUACGACGAACCUUUUGUCACCUCCAUUAUCGAGAAACAUAUCCUUAUUCCACUAAGGAUAAUUUUGACCGCUGUCUAGUGAUCUACUCCUAGAUCACUAUUGUACUCCCAUGCCAAAAUCACUGUAGGGUAUACAAUAGAUCUGGUACACAGCUUGGCAUACUUUAUAGAACCUAUGGCCAAAGCAUAGGGAAUGACUUUCAUUCUCUUUCUAUCUUAUGCCGUGGUCGGGUUUUGAGUCUUACUCAACUUCACACCUUGUAACACAGGCAAGAACUCUUUCUUUGACUGUUCCAUUUUGAACUACUUCAAAAUCUUGUCAAGGUAUGUACUCAUUGAAAAAACUUAUCAAGCGUCUUGAUCUAUCUCUAUAGAUAUUGAUGCUCAAUAUGUAAGCAGCUUCACCGAGGUCUUCCUUUGAAAAACUCCUUUCAAACACUCCUUUGUGCUUUACAGAAUAAUUCUACAUUAUUUCUGAUCAACAAUAUGUCAUUCACAUAUACUUAUCAGAAAUGUUGUAGUGCUCCCACUCACUUUCUUGUAAAUACAGGCUUCACCGCAAGUCUGUAUAAAACUAUAUGCUUUGAUCAACUUAUCAAAGCGUGUAUUCCAACUCUGAGAUGCUUGCACCAGUCCAUAGAUGGAUCGCUGGAGCUUGCAUAUUUUGUUAGCACCUUUAGGAUUGACAAAACUUUCUGGUUGCAUCAUAUACAACUCUUCUUUAAUAAAUCCAUUAAGGAAUGCAGUUUUGUUAUCCAUUUGCCAGAUUUCAUAAAAUGCGGCAAUUGCUAACAUGAUUCGGACAGACUUAAGCAUAGAUACGAGUGAGAAACUCUCAUCGUAGUCAACACUUUGAACUUGUCGAAAACCUUUUGCGACAAUUCUAGCUUUGUAGAUAGUAACACUACUAUCAGCGUCCGUCUUCCUCUUGAAGAUCCAUUUAAUCUCAAUGGCUUGCCGAUCAUCGGGCAAGUCAAUCAAAGUCCAUACUUUGUUCUCAUAUAUGGAUCUCAUCUCAGAUUUCAUGGCCUCAAGCCAUUUCGCGGAAUCUGGGCUCACCAUCGCUUCUUCAUAGUUCAUAGGUUCGUCAUGGUCAAGUAACAUGACCUCCAGAACAGGAUUACCGUACCACUCUAGUGCGGAUCUCACUCUGGUUUACCUACGAGGUUUGGUAGUAACUUGAUCUGAAGUUACAUGAUCAUCAUCAUUAACUUCCUCACUAAUUGGUGUAGUAGUCACAGGAACAGAUUUCUGUGAUGAACUACUUUCCAAUAAGGGAGCAGGUACAGUUACCUCGUCAAGUUCUACUUUCCUCCCACUCACUUCUUUCGAGAGAAUCUCUUUCUCUAGAAAGGAUCCAUUCUCAGCAACAAAUGUCUUGCCUUUGGAUCUGUGAUAGAAGGUGUACCCAACUGUCUCCUUUGGGUAUCCUAUGAAGACACAUUUCUCCGAUUUGGGUUUGAGCUUAUCCGGAUGAAACUUUUUCAUAUAAGCAUCACAAUCCCAAACUUUAAGAAACGACAACUUUGGUUUCUUGCUAAACCACAGUUCAUAUAGUGUCGUCUCAACGGAUUUAGAUGGUGCCCUAUUUAACGUGAAUGCAGUUGUCUCUAAUGCAUAACCCCAAAACAAUAGUGGUAAAUCGGUAAGAAACAUCAUAGAUUGCACUGUAUCCAAUAAAGUACGGUUAUGACGUUCGGACGCACCAUUAUGCUGUGGUGUUCCAGGUGGUGUGAGUAGUGAAACUAUUUCACAUUGUUUUAACUGAAGACCAAAAUCGUAACUCAAAUAUUCGUCUCCGCGAUCAGAUCGUAGAAACUUUAUUUUCUUGUCACGAUGUUUUUCCACUUCACUCUGAAAUUCUUUGAACUUUUCAACCAUUUCAGACUUAUGUUUCAUUAAGUAGAUAUACCCAUAUCUGCUCAAUACAUCUGUGAAGGUCAAAAAAUAAUGAUACUUGUCGCGAGCCUUAAUUUUCAUCGGACCACAUACAUCGGUAUGUAUGAUUUCCAACAAGUCAGUUGCUCGCUCCAUUGUUCCGGAGAACGGAGUCUUAGUCAUCUUGCCCAUGAGGCAUGGUUCGCAAGCAUCAAGUGAUUCAUAAUCAAGUGAUUCCAAAAUUCCAUCUGCAUGGAGUUUCUUCAUGCGCUUUACACCAAUAUGACUUAAACAGUAGUGCCACAAACAAGUUGCACUAUCAUUAUUAACUUUGCAUCCUUUUGGCUUCAAUAUCAUGAAUAUGUGUAUCACUACGAUCGAGAUUCAACGAACCAUUUCGUUGGUGUGUAUAACCAUAGAAGGUUUUAUUCAUGUAAACAGAACAACAAUUGUUCUCUAACUUAAAUGAAUAACUGUAUUGCAAUAAACAUGAUCAAAUCAUAUUCAUGCUCAACGCAAACACCAAAUAACACUUAUUUAGUUUUAACACUAAUCCCGAAAGUAUAGGGAGAGUGUGAUGAUGAUCAUAUCAAUCUUGGAACCACUUCCAACAGACAUCGUCACUUCACCCUUAACUGGUCUCUGUUUAUUCUGCAACUCUUGUUUCGAGUUACUACUCUUAGCAAGUGAACCAGUAUCAAAUACUGAGGGGUUGCUAUAAACACUAGUAAAGUACACAUCAAUAAUCAUGUAUAUCAAAUAUACUUAUGUUCACUUUGCCAUCCUUCUUAUCCGCCAAUCACUUGGGGUAGUUCCGCUUCCAGUGACUAGUCCCUUUGCAGUAGAAGCACUUAGUCUCAGGCUUAGGACCAGACUUGAGCUUCUUCACUUGAGCAGCAACUCGCUUGCCGUUCUUCUUGAAGUUCCUCUUCUUCCCUUUGCCCUUUUCUUGAAACUAGUGGUCUCGUUAACCAUCAACACUUGAUGUUCUUUCUUGAUUUCUACCUUCAUCGAUUUCAUCAUCAUGAAAAGCUCGGGAGUCGUUUUCGUCAUCCCUUGCAUACUAUAGUUCAUCACGAAGUUCUACUAACUUGGUGAUGGUGACUAGAGAAUUCUGUCAAUCACUAUCUUAUCUGGAAGAUUAACUCCCACUUGAUUCAAGCGAUUGUAGUACCCAGACAAUCUGAGCACAUGCUCACUAGUUGAGCGAUUCUCCUCCAUCUUUUAGCUAUAGAACUUGUUGGAGACUUCAUAUCUCUCAACUCGGGUAUUUGCUUGAAAUAUUAACUUCAACUCCUGGAACAUCUCAUAUGGUCCAUGACGUUCAAAACGUCUUUGAAGUCCCGAUUCUAAGCCCUUAAGCAUGGUGCACUAAACUAUCAUGUAGUCAUCAUAUUGAGCUAGCCAAACGUUCAUAACGUCUGCGUCCGCUCCUGCAAUAGGUCCGUCACCUAGCGGUGCAUCAAGGACAUAAUUCUUCUGUGCAGCAAUGAGGAUAAACCUCAGAUCACGGAUCCAAUCCGCAUCAUUGCUACUAACAUCUUUCAACACAAUUUUCUCUAGGAACAUAUCAAAAUAAACAGGAAGCAACAACGCGAGCUAUUGAUCUACAACAUAGAUAUGCUAAUACUACCAGGACUAAGUUCAUGAUAAAUUAAAGUUCAAUUAAUCAUAUUACUUAAGAACUCCCACUUAGAUAGACAUCCCUCUAAUCAUCUAAGUGAUCACGUGAUCCAAAUAAAACUAAGCCAUAACCGAUCAUCACGUGAAAUGGAUUAGUUCUCAAUGGUGAACAUCAUCAUGUUGAUCAUAUCUACUAUAUGAUUCACGCUCGACCUUUCGGUCUCCGUGUUCCGAGGCCAUAUCUGCAUAUGCUAGGCUCGUCAAGUAUAACCCGAGUAUUCUGCGUGUGCAAAACUGGCUUGCACCCGUUGUAGAUGGACGUAGAGCUUAUCACACCCGAUCAUCACGUGGUGUCUGGGCACGACGAACUUUGGCAACGGUGCAUACUCGGGGAGAACACUUCUUGAUAAUUUAGUGAGAGAUCAUCUUAUAAUGCUACCGUCAAUUAAAGCAAGAUAAGAUGCAUAAAAAGAUAAACAUCACAUGCAAAUCAAUAUAAGUGAUAUGAUAUGGUCAUCAUCAUCUUGUGCUUCAUGAUCUCCAUCUCUGCAGCACCAUCAUGAUCACCAUCGUCACCGGCGCGACACCUUGAUCUCCAUCGUAGCAUCGUUGUCGUCUCGUCAAUCUUAUGCUUCUACGACUAUCGCUACCGCUUAGUGAUAAAGUAAAGCAUUACAGGGCGAUUGCAUUGCAUACAAUAAAGCGACAACCAUAUGGCUCCUGCCAGUUGCCGAUAACUCGGUUACAAAACAUGAUCAUCUCAUACAAUAAAAUUUAGCAUCAUGUCUUGACCAUAUCACAUCACAACAUGCCCUGCAAAAACAAGUUAGACGUCCUCUACUUUGUUUGUUGCAAGUUUUACGUGGCUGCUACGGGCUUAAGCAAGAACUCAUCUUACCUACGCAUCAAAACCACAACGAUAGUUCGUCAAAUAGACUCCGUUUUAACCUUCUCAAGGACCGGGCGUAGCCACACUUGGUUCAACUAAAGUUGGUGAGAUGUCUCCCGCAAGCCAUCUAUGUGCAAAGCACGUCGAGGGAACCGGUCUCGCGUAAGCGUACGGGUAAGGUUGGUCCGGGUCAUCUCAUCCAACAAUACCGCCGAACCAAAGUAUGACAUGCUGGUAGGUAGUAUGACUUGUAUCGUCCACAACUCACUUGUGUUCUACUCGUGCAUAUAACAUCAAACCAUAAAAAGCUGGCUCUGAUACCACUGUUGGGGAACGUAGUAAUUUCAAAAAUUUUCCUACGCACACGCAAGAUCAUGGUGAUGCAUAGCAACGAGGGGGAGAGUGUUGUCUACAUACCCUUGUAGACCUGAAGCGGAAGCGAUCACAACGUAGAGGAAGUAGUCGUACGUUCUCCUCGCGAUCCGACCGAUCCCGGCGCCGUUACUCCGGCGCCCCCGAGUUCUUGGCACACGUACAGCUCGAUGACGCUCCACGGGCUCCGAUCCAGCAAAGCUCCGGAGAGAGAGUUCCGUCAGCACGACGGCGUGGUGACGAUCUUGAUGUUCUACCGGCGCAGGGCUUCGCCUAAGCACUGCAACGAUAUAUUCGAGGUGUAAUAUGGUGGAGGGGGGCACCGCACACGGCUAAGGAACGAUCACGAAGAUCAACUUGUGUGUCUUGGGGUGCCCCCCUGCCCCCGUAUAUAAAGGAGCAAGGGGGAGGCCGCCGGCCUAGCCUUUGGCGCGCCUAUAGGGAGUCCUACUCCCACCGGGAGUAGGACUCCUACUUGGAAUAGGAGGAGGGGAGAGGAAAGUGGAGGAGAGGAAGGAAAGGGGGGGCGCCGCCCCCCUUCCCUUGUCCUAUUCGGACUAGGAUGGGAGGGGCGCGCGGCCACCUAUGCCCUCUCUCCUCUCUUCUCCCUUAAGGCCCACCAGGGCCCAAUAACCCCCCGGGGGGUUCCGGUAACCCCCCGGUACUCCGGUAAAAUUGCCGAUUUCACCCGGAACGUUUCCGAAGUCCAAACAUAGGCUUCCAAUAUAUCAAUCUUUAUGUCUCGACCAUUUCGAGACUCCUCGUCAUGUCCGUGAUCACAUCCGGGACUCCGAACUCCUUCGGUAUAUCAAAAUACACAAACUCAUAAUAAUCGUCAUCGAAACCUUAAGCGUGCGGACCCUACGGUUCGAGAACAAUGUAGACAUGACCGAGACACGUCUCCGGUCAAUAACCAAUAGCGGGACCUGGAUGCCCAUAUUGGCUCCUACAUAUUCUACGAAGAUCUUUAUCGGUCAGACCGCAUAACAACAUACGUUGUUCCCUUUGUCAUCGGUAUGUUACUUACCCGAGAUUCGAUCGUCGGUAUCCAAUACCUAGUUCAAUCUCGUUACCGGUAAGUCUCUUUACUCGUUCCGUAAUACAUCAUCUCACAACUAACUCAUUAGUUGUAGUGCUUGCAAGGCUUAUGUGAUGUGCAUUACCGAGAGGGCCCAGAGAUACCUCUCCGACAAUCGGAGUGACAAAUCCUAAUCUCGAAAUACGCCAACCCAACAUCUACCUUUGGAGACACCUGUAGUACUCCUUUAUAAUCACCCAGUUACGUUGUGACGUUUGGUAGCACCCAAAGUGUUCCUCCGGCAGACGGGAGUUGCAUAAUCUCAUAGUCAUAGGAACAUGUAUAAGUCAUGGAUAAAAGCAAUAGCAACACACUAAACGAUCGGGUGCUAAGCUAAUGGAAUGGGUCAUGUCAAUCAGAUCAUUCAACCAAUGAUGUGACCUCGUUAAUCAAAUGACAACUCCUUUGUCUAUGGUUAGGAAACUUAACCAUUUUUGAUUAACGAGCUAGUCAAGUAGAGGCAUACUAGUGACACUCUGUUUGUCUAUGUAUUCACACAUGUAUUAUGUUUCCGGUUAAUACAAUUCUAGCAUGAAUAAUAAACAUUUAUCAUGAAAUAAGGAAAUAAAUAAUAACUUUAUUAUUGCCUCUAGGGCAUAUUUCCUUCACAUUUUUGAACUUUUGUAGCUCCGCCCAACAUUAUUAACCUUCCGGAUGAUGAGGAGGAGGUGGAAGUGCCGCUCAGGCCUUUUGGAAGGAGGCGACGGAGGGCCCCGGCUAACAAGGCUCCUGAGACCGCGUCGACUGCUGAGGCGGUGGUCCAAGGGGGUGACAACACCGUCCGGACUACUGUGACUUUUGCUGAACCACUAACGACUGCCCGGCCUUCGUCGUCGACUGCUCCCCCACUGGUCGACCCGCCCUCGUUCUUCGCCACCUACCAGACCCCGGAGGAUCAAGUGAGUGCUGCUAAGGAGGCUAUACGUCAGGCGGGGCUCGUGAUGGAGCAGACUAAGGCGGCUCGGGAUGCCAGUCAAGCGGCCUAUGACAUCAGCUCGGCGUUGCAGUAGAACGUCCAGGUUAGUUGUUCUUCACUUGCGUUGUACACCCACUGGGUGUUGUUGAUCUGAAAUUUUUUGUUGGUGGGGGCACGCUGAGUGCACCCACUGGGUGUAAUCCCCAAGGCCAUGGUCGACUGCUGGCAGUCGACUGUGGUCUUUAUGCUUUCGAACUUCUUCACUCGACUGAUCGGAUCGAGUCGAGUGGAAAUCAGGCAAACCGGUGGGGGCACGCUGAGUGCACCCACUGGGUGUAGUCCCCGAGGCUAUGGUGGACUGCUGGCAGUCGACCAUAGUCUUUAGAACUUUCCUUGCUCUCUCUCUUUUUUUUGAUGACCCUUAGUCAUGGCUUUUAGGAUCGUACCGGGUCGACCGAUCGGAUCUGGUCGAGUGGAAACCAAGGAAACCAGUGGGGGCACGCUGAGUGCACCCACUGGGUGUAGUCCCCGAGGCUACAGUCGAAUAUUUUGAUUCGGCUGUAGUCUUAGAAGUGUUGUGCUCUUUCUUUCAGUCAGUCGGAAGUAACUUGUCUUUGAUAUCUUUUGUCGAUUGACUCUUUGCAGAAGUCUUGUGAGCUUGUUGCUCAGCUCGCUGAUCUGAAGGACAAGCAGAUCCAGCUUAAUCUUGACCUACAGUUUGCUCAGGAGAACGUGCAGAAGGCGAAGGAUGAAGCAAAAGGUAUGGCUGGUGAGGACUCGACGUCUAUCUCUGUUCCUUUGCCCGUUUUGAACUCUGUGUCUGUUGUUGCUUUGCAGACGAACUAGAGAAGGCCCUGAAGAAGAAAGACCUCGACCUUGCGGAGGCGCAAAAAGUGGUUGCGGAGAAGUUGAAGCUUGCUGAAGAGAAACUUGCUUCAGUCGGUCAACUUGAGAACGAGAAUGCUAGGCUGAAGUCUGCUCUUGACACAGCCAAUAAAGAAGCGAGUCGACUGAAGACUGACAAGAGUGCUCUGAACGACAAGAUCGGCCAGCUGGCGGGGAAGCACAAGGACUUGGAGAAUUAUCUUGGGGGUCUUGCCAAGAAGCUAUACCUCAUGCUUGAAGGUAAUCCCCUCUGUGCGAUUAAUCUUGUUGCUAUCGACUCAUCAUUUGGUUACAAUUUUGCUCUGUCGAAACUUCUUUCAGAGUUCUGCCGGAAUUUCGAGGAGGAGACCAGUCGAGUGGAGACCAGCCUGGACCCUAUCAAUUCUCCUGUGAAGGAUGAAGUGGCCAUGAAUGUCCUCCGGUUGGAAUCUCGUAUCACUGGUGUGGUGGACUACUUGGCUCGACUGAAAGCUGCUGUGUCGCGGAUCGACUCCGCACUCUGGCCCAAGGAGACCCUUCAGAACGACCUUGAAUCCUUGGUCACUCGACUAAGUGAUGUUCCAGGUCGAGUGCAAGAAUGGAAAAAGUCUUCUGCUAGGUGCGGCGCUGAUGUGGCUCUGUCACUGGUUCGUGUCCACUGCGAGGAGGCGCGAGAGGAGAAGCUGGCCGCUCUCCAGGUUGCCAAUACCAGGAAGCAUAAUUUCCAAGAUUUCAUGGAGACCUUCAUCGCUGCUGCCACUCGAAUCUCAGACGGGAUCGACUUGGACGAAUUCGUUGCGCCAUCAAGUCCUCCGCCAGAAGAGUAAAAACUGCUGUGCGUUACCUUAAAUUUGCCUCGGGAUGCCGAGUGGUUUAUGUAUUUGAUAAACUCCGUCGGGCUCUCAGCUCGAGUACUUUUAUUUGCGAUCUAGGAUCUUUUGAUUUUAUCCAAACAUGGCUCGACGUUGAAUGCCUUUGCGACUUGAUCCGCCGAUCUACUAUUCGUUGUUCCCUCAGAGGCUGCUUGGUUUGCACGAUGCUUAUCGCCGCGAUGGUGUCUGUACUUGGGCUGCAGCUAAGCCCCCGAAUGGGAGGUUUGCUCUCCACUCGGUAGGAUUUUCAUUUACUUAGGCGAGCACUGGACUGCAGCUAAGCCCCUGAGUGGGAGGUUUGCUCUCCACUCGACGGGAUUUUCAAUUACUUAGGCGAGCACUGGGCUGCAGCUAAGCCCUCGAGUGGGAGGUUUGCUCUCCACUCGACGGGAUUUUCAAUUACUUAGGCGAGCACUGGGCUGCAGCUAAGCCCCCGAGUGGGAGGUUUGCUCUCCACUCGACGGGAUUUUCAAUUACUUAGGCGAGUGCUUGGACUGCAGCUAAGCCCCCGAGUGGGAGGUUUGCUCUCCACUCGACGGGAUUUUCAAUUACUUAGGCGAGCACUGGGCUGCAGCUAAGCCCCCGAGUGGGAGGUUUGCUCUCCACUCGGCGGGAUUUUCAAUUACUUAGGCGAAACGGAUUCGCAGCUAAGCCUCCGAGUGGGAUACUUGCUCUCCACUCGGUAGGAUUUUCUGAAAACUUAGGCGAAGCGGAUUCGCAGCUAAGCCACCCACUGGGGGAAAUUUAGAUGAACAGAAAAAGAAAUAACAGUCUUUUGCGAAAAUUAAGAAAUUCUUGCUUGAAACAAAAGAAUACAGAGGUACUUUUAUUAUAUCUCAGUUGAGUGAGUUUUUAAGUGUAAAAAGGUCGGAGCAGGUCCGCGUUCCAUGCUCGAGGCUCGUCGAUCCGUCGAUCGAUGUUGUAGAGGUGAUACGCUCCAUUGUGCAGGACUUUGGUGAUGAUGAAGGGGCCUUCCCAGGUCGGAGCAAGUUUGUGAGGCUUUUGCUGAUCCACGCGGAGGACCAAAUCUCCUUCCUGAAAGGCUCGACCCUUCACAUUUCUGGCGUAGAAUCGACGCAAUUCUUGCUGGUAGAUGGUCGAGUGGAUUAGGGCCAUCUCUCUUUCCUCUUCUAAGAGGUCGACUGCAUCUUGCCGGGCCUGUUCUGCUUCUGCUUCAGAAUAUAACUCGACUCGAGGCGCGUUGUGGAGCAGGUCGCUUGGUAAAACCGCUUCGGCUCCAUAGACCAGAAAGAAUGGUGUCCUUCCAGUCGACCGGUUAGGGGUGGUCCUCAACCCCCAUAGAACUGACGGAAGUUCGUCGACCCAAGCGCCUGCUGCAUGUUUGAGAUCACGCAUCAGUCGGGGUUUUAGUCCUUUGAGGAUGAGACCAUUCGCGCGUUCGGCUUGUCCAUUCGACUGAGGAUGAGCAACUGAGGCAUAGUCGACUCGAGUGCCUUGAGAGGCGCAGAAGGCUUUGAAUCUGUCAUUAUCAAAGUUUGAUCCAUUAUCCGUGAUGAUGCUAUGCGGAACUCCAUAUCUGAAUAUCAAUCCUCUGAUAAAGCUGAUGGCAGUGCCUGCAUCGAGGUCCUUUAUGGGUUUGGCUUCUAUCCACUUUGUGAACUUGUCGACUGCGACCAACAGGUGGGUGAAGCCGCUUCUGCCAGUCCUCAGUGGUCCGAUCAUGUCAAGACCCCAGACAGCAAAAGGCCAAACGAGUGGAAUGGUCUUCAAGGCGGAGGCGGGCUUGUGAGACAUGUUGGAGUAAAACUGACACCCCUCGCACUUGUCGACUAUAUCCUUUGCCAUUUCGUUCGCCUUUGGCUAGUAAAAACCCGCUCGGUAUGCUUUGGCCACGAUGGUCCGGGAGGACGCAUGAUGGCCACAGGUCCCCGAGUGGAUAUCCUCAAGAAUUAUCUGUCCUUCUUCAGGCGUGAUGCACUUCUGACCAACUCCAGUCGCGCUUUCUCUGUACAGCUGCCCUUUGAUUACUGUAAAGGCUUUGGAUCGACGGACGAUCUGUCGAGCCUCUUCUUCAUCUUCUGGGAGCUCUUUUCUCAUGAUAUACGCAAUGUACGGCAAUGUCCAGUCGUGAGUGGUAACCAUAACUUCCAUAAUCAGGUCGACCACGGCUGGAACCUCCACUUCGGUCGAGUCAGAGGCGCUUUUUGGUUGUGGGGGCUCUUCUGUAAAAGGAUCUUCUUGCAUUGAUGGUGUGUGAAUGUGCUCUAAACACACAUCUUUAGGGAUGGCCUCCCUUUUGGACCCUAUCUUCGCCAGAUCAUCUGCAGCUUGAUUUUUCAGUCGGGGUAUAUGAUGGAGCUCCAACCCCUCGAAUCGUUUCUCCAGCUUCCUCACUACGCUGCAAUAUCCCGUCAUGGAUGGGCUUCGGACGUCCCACUCCUUCAUCACUUGAUUAACAACCAGAUCUGAGUCGUCGUAGACCAUGAGGCGACGGACGCCGAGUGAAAUGGCCAUAUGUAAUCCGUAUAGAAGCGCUUCAUACUCUGCCUCAUUGUUGGAGGAAUCAAAGUGAAUCUGGAGGACAUACUUGAGCUUAUCUCCUCGGGGGGAAACCAGUACAACCCCCGCACCGGAUCCGUUCAGCAUCUUGGAGCCAUCGAAAAACAUAGUCCAGUGCUCCGAGUGAACUUGAGUCGGAAGUUCCUGCUCGGUCCACUCGGUGAGGAAAUCAGCUAUUGCCUGGGACUUAAUAGCUUUCUUUGCCUCAAACUUGAUAUCAAGAGGAAGAAGUUCAAUUGCCCAUUUCGCCACUCGACCAGUUGCAUCUCUGUUAUGAAGAAUCUCUGAUAAUGGGGCGUCGCUGACGACUGUGAUAGAAUGAUCAGAGAAAUAAUGAGCAACCUUCUUCGUGGUCAUGUAAAUCCCGUAAACAAGCUUCUGAUAGUGUGGAUAUCUUUGCUUCGACGGGGUCAGAACUUCUGAGAGGUAGUAAACUGGGCGUUGAACUUUGAAGGUCUUUCCUUCCUCUUCCCGCUCGACCGUAAGAACGGUACUAACGACUUGUCCCGUGGCUGCUAUGUAAAGCAACAGUGGCUCUUUGCUGACAGGAGCAGCAAGCACCGACUGGGUGGAGAGCAGAGCUUUUAGCUCUGCGAACGCUGCAUCAGCUUCUGGAGUCCACUCGAACGUGUCUGACUUCUUCAUCAGUCGGUAAAGAGGCAGUGCCUUUUCACCGAGCCUGGAGAUGAAUCGACUUAAAGCGGCCAAGCAUCCAGUAAGUUUCUGGACAUCGUGCACACGCACGGGGCGUUUCAUCCGGAGUAUGGUGCCAACUUUUUCAGGGUUAGCGUCGAUUCCUCGUUCGGAAACAAGAAAACCGAGUAACUUUCCUCCAGGGACUCCGAAUGUGCACUUCGACGGAUUAAGCUUGAUAUCAUAAUUCCUGAGAUUGGCAAAAGUUUCAGCUAGGUCAGUCAGUAGGUCGGAACCUUUUCGUGACUUGACCACUAUGUCAUCCAUGUAUGCUUCUACAUUCCGACUGAUUUGAGUGAUCAGGCACUUCUGAAUCAUUCUCAUGAAUGUAGCUCCGGCAUUCUUGAGACCGAAAGGCAUGGUAACAUAGCAGAAACACCCAAACGGGGUGAUGAAGGCUGUUUUUAUUUCAUCGGGUCCAUACAGACGGAUCUGAUGGUAUCCAGAGUCGUCUAAGAAAGAUAGCCUCUCGCAUCCCGCAGUCGAGUCGACUAUUUGGUCGAUGCGAGGAAGAGGAAAAUGAUCUUUCGGGCAGGCCCGAUUGAUAUGCUUAAAAUCAAUGCACAUGCGCAAUGAUUUGUCCUUCUUAGGGACCAUUACAACAUUGGCGAGCCACUCGGAGUGGUAGAUCUCGCGAAUGAAUUCUGCUGCUAGGAGUCGGGCCACUUCUUCGCCAAUGGCCUUUCUCUUCUGAACGGCGGACCGUCGGAGAUGCUCCUUAACUGGUUUGACCUUUGGGUCGACUCGAAGGCGGUGCUCAGCCAGUCCCCUGGGCACACCUGGCAUGUCGGCAGGCUUCCAUGCAAAGAUGUCCCAGUUCUCACGGAGGAACUGGACGAGCGCUUCUUCCUAUUUGGAGUCGAGUGUAGUGUAGAUGUUGGCUGGAGCCGCAUUUGGAUCGGUCGGGUGGAUGUGGACUUGCUUGGUCUCACCAGUCGACUGAAAUGCUGACUCCGUGGCGGGCUUCUUGGCUCGUAACAACUUACUCGGAUCCGCAGUCUUCUGGUACUCUUGUAUCUCUAUCUUGGCCAUCUGAGCAUCAGCAAUUUUGGCGCCUUUCUGGAAGCACUCCUCUGCCUUCUUCCGAUUGCCAACGAUGGUGAUUACACCUUUGGGGCCAGGCAUCUUCAGCUUGAGGUAUACGUAGCAUGGUCGAGCCAUGAAACGAGCAUAGGCUGGCCUCCCAAGAAUGGCGUGGUACGCGCUCUGAAAAUCCACGACCUCAAAGGUUAGCUUUUCUUUCCGGAAAUUCUUCGAGUCACCAAAGACGACGCCGAGAGUGAUUUGACCGAGUGACUCAGCUUUCUUCCCAGGAAUGACUCCGUGGAAGCUCAUGUUGCUGGGGCUGAGUCUGGACAUCGGAAUGCCCAUCCCCUUCAACGUCUCUGCAUAUAACAAGUUCAGCCCACUGCCACCGUCCAUCAGAACCUUGGUCAGUCGAGUGCCUUCAAUAAUUGGGUCGACCACCAACGCUUGCCUCCCUGGGGUGACAAUAUGAGUCGGAUGAUCGGACUGGUCGAAGGUGAUGGCGGUCUGGGACCACUUCAGGUAAUGGGGUGUCACCGGAGCAACCAUGUUUACUUCGCGAUUGAUGACCUUCAGUCGACUCUUACUUUCGACAUCAGCGAAAAUCAUCAGAGUGGAAUUGACUUGGGGGUAUUCUUCACCGCUGUCUUCCCUAUCUUCAACUCUGUCUGACUCUUUCUCUUUGUCCUUGGCCAGCUUCCCUUGGAACUGUUGCAUCAGGAGUCGACAUUGUCGAGUGGUAUGCUUAGGGUAAACGAGAUUUCCCUCUUCAUCUUUCCUCGUGUGAAUGUGACAUGGUAAGUCCAUCACAUCGUUCCCGUCCUGGUCUUUCACUUUCUUGGGGUUCCAAGGACCCUUGGGUUUCCCCUUAAACUUCCCUGGGGUCACGGCUAAGGCUUCCCCGGGGGCGACUGGCUCGGCCUUGCGCUUUUGCUUCCGACUGGAGUGUCCUCCGCCGGUCUCAUUAGCGGCUGCCUUAUACUUGCCACUCCGGAGUCUAUCUUCCUCUUCUCCAUUCGCGUACUUGGUGGCGAUUUCCAUCAUUCGACUCAGGGUCAUAUCCCCGGUUCGACCGAACUUCAAACUUAACUCCCUGUUUCUGACGCCCUCCUUGAAGGCGCAAACUGCCUGAUGGUCGGACACAUUCUCGACCGUGUGAUUCAGAGUGAUCCACCUUUGGAUAUAAUCCCUCAGGGUUUCACUCGACUUCUGAACACAUGACUGCAAUUCUGUCAACCCUGCCGGUCGCUUGCAAGUCCCUUCGAAUGUCCUGACAAACACCUGGGCUAGAUCUUCCCAAGUAUAAAUACUGCUGGGAGCCAACUGAUUCAACCACGCUCUGGCUGAUCCUUCCAACAUGAGGGGCAAAUGCUUCAUAGCCACCUCGUCAUUGCCGCCUCCGAUCUGAACAGCCACUCGGUAGUCCUCAAGCCAAGUGUCCGGCUUGGACUCUCCGGUGAACUUGCUGACUCCAGUCGCCAACCUGAAGUUGGGAGGAAUCACUGCGGCUCUAAUUGCUCUGCUAAAACACUCGGGACCUGAGACAUGUACUCUGCUGCUGGACGGAGCACCUCUGUCGCGGUCUUCUCGGUGAGCUCUAUUCCGGUCGACCAGACCUUGAACAAUGAUGGACCUCGCAUCAAAGCCUGGUUCUCUGGGGUCGACUGGGACCCUUCGCCCAGUACUGAACUGGCGUCUGUCUUCUUGCCGCCGGGGAACGUACGACCCCGCUCUCGGGGCAGGAGAAGGCACUCGACGUUGAUCGUUGCGAUCGUAUCGGUGCUCAUAUCGCUCGUGCUCUUGGUGCUGAUCUUCGUGCCGGCCUCUGUGUCCUUCACGCCUCGGGGGCGACCUUGGACUAUGAGCCGACUGUACGGAAUUCGCAGCGACGGAUCGACUGUGAAUCCUGUUGCGCGACUGAGAUACGGCUGAAUUCUGGUCACCCGCUGCAUGGAGUAAAUCUCUAAUCUGCAACAAACCUCUCCCUGCCUCUGACUGUGAAGGCUGGAUCGACUCCGCUAUACGAGCCGCAGCUGCCAAAUUCUGAAUCGGAGUUCGGUAUACCUGGGUCGACGGCUGGAAAAGGCGACGACGACUGGACUCGGGAACGGGCGGUCGUGCGCGCUCGUCGAGUGCUCUCUGGAGAUUCUCCAGUCGAGUACGUUCAGCCAAGUUGGCCAAGCGCACCUCCUCCAGGGCUGGCGCCUCAGGGGUUUCUCCAACGAUAGGAGUGUGAAGGGCGUCCAUGUUCCGGCGACGGAGUUCCUCCCUCUGCACUGAGGUAAGGGGCUCGGGCCGGUACUCUUCAUGGCCCCGCGCCGGAAUCCCUCCCGCAGCAACCUCUUCGGUGUGGGGGAACCCGGGGGGACUGCGUGGUCCGUCGACCAUUAGUACCUCCGCCGCUGGAUCACUGCUGUCGCACUCGGACGCAGUCUCUACGGAGCCAGUCGACAGGUCGAACAGGCCAUAGAGUGACUCGUCGGGUUCGAUUGCCGCGACUUGGGGGGUGGCCGACUGGCGGGCCAGCGCGUGCUUCACCCACCGCUGGAGUCUCGACCGACCGGUGCGCUUGCGCCGGCGGGAAACCGAUGAUGAUGAUGACGCGACGAAUGCCGACCCGUACUGGGUCGACGGUUGCCGCAGGAGGACGCCGCGGACACAUGCGCGAAAAUGCGUGGCUCCGCGAGCGGGAAGCGCGUCCAUGUCGAGUGGAGCCUCCUGCAGCCAAGUAGAGUCGUCGACGAUGAAGGAGAGAGCGCCAAGACGGAUCUCGCGGCUCUCGACCAUGACUCCGCUCGAAAACAUGAUGCGGGGUGCUGAAAGAAUCCCAACUUCCUCCAACAAAUUGCUAGAACACCUGCCCCACGGUGGGCGCCAACUGUUGUGGUUCUAAGUCUGACAGUAAGAAUGGGGGGUAGGAAUGAAGAGGCAGGUCCUAGCUAUGGAGUAGUUGUGUACGCAAGGGGUUUUACGAGUUCGGGCCCUUCUCUGAAGAAGUAACAACCGUACGUCUCGGAGCCCGGAGGCAGUCGACUGGAUUAUAUGUCUGUGUGCUACAAAGUUCCGAACCCUUGUUCCAGUGGAGGGGGGUGGCUUAUAUAGAGUUCGCCAGGACCCCAGCCAGCCCACGUUCCAAGGGGUUUAAUGUACAUAAAGAGAGGGGGUUACUGGUAACGCCCGCAAUAAAGGACCAUGAAGGCCAUAAAAGCUACUUAAGAGAUGACCGUUUGUAGGCAGUGCCUUUAGGUCUUCUUACGGUCGAGUGGCUGUCUUCAUGGCCGACUGCUUGUGCUUCUGGUCGAGUGCGUUUGUAUCCGUCGACUGGGAAGGCCAGGUCGACUGAAAUGCUGAUACUUCUUAGAAUAUCUUUUAUUGUAGGAGUCAUGUCCUUGAUUGGGUACCUUGGGUAUGAUAAGUUACCCUACCCUAGGUAUGUAUCCUCAUCAGCCGCUGUCACCACCACCCCAAGCACACCCACGCGAGACACCAAAGAGCCCAACACGCCGCCGCCAGUCACCGACCUCGCCACCGCCACCCACUGUCGCGCCCUCUGACAACGUCGCGCCGACACCCUCUGACCCAACCCUCGUCAGCCGAGACGGACCGAACUUCGCCCGUCAGCGUGAGCCGGUGGCAGCGAGGGGGAGGUGGGGAGGAGGAUGGGGCCUACUGGAGCCUGCGCAUUUCAUCACGUCUGCACUAAUUCCAUGUCAAAGCCCGCACAUUCCCACUAUCUCUAGCCGAUCCCCGCCGUCCUCCACUCACAUUCCCGCCCUUUUCGUCGUCCGCCGUUGCAUGGAUCCGUUCAUAGCAUUGCCGGAGCCUGAGGUGGAGGAUCCAAAGGUGGUGCCCGCCCGGAAGAUCAACUCUGUGACCUGCAAUGUAAGCCGUCGCAUCCAAAGGAGAAAGGAGAAAGCGGCUUUGGCGGACGACCACCCGCCACCUCCUAAGAAAGGCGGUCGGCCAGGACUUGGGCUGCCGCCGCCGUUGGUGCACUCGCUGGCCUGGCUGGCGGAUAUGCAGUUGCCACAAAGCUCGGUCAUCAGCACCCAUCCCCGACCACUUCCGGCACGUCUGUGCCAUGGGCCAUCAACCUGAACGCGCCCCUCACUUAGCCGAGUCGCCAUCGCCGCAGCUUGUCCAGUCGCAAACGUCCGGUGUGGAUCAAUUGGGUGUCCGCUCUCUGUUGGCCGAUAUGUCUCAAGUGACACCGGCGGAUGGCAGAGAGAUGUUGGACAUCAUCCACGACAAAUGUGGCUUCGAGGACGGCCACGUGGAUGAUUCCCAUGCGGAAAUGUAUCACCGAGCAGUCGAACUCGAAGACCGAGCAGACGGGCCUUGAUCCGGACGAUUGGGCGGUCGGUGGUGAUCCAAAGAAGAGGGGGAGGGAAGAAAAUUUCAAUCUGAGGGAGGACAAAUUAUUGCGUGCGUGUUAAGCCCAUGUAACUGCAUUGGGUUUUUGAAUUGUGAGAGAAGAAAUACAGAAAAAAGCACACGUUGUGUCAUGUGUGACAAAGCCUGUGUGUGUUCUUGUACCUUCCUAUGCUCUCUGAGUAAUUCGUGGAUUAUAUUUGAAUUUAUCAAAAGAAGCGGGCAUCCGGUUUCAGAUAUAUAUUUAUGAAAAGUGGAGGGAGCACCUAUGAGCGUACAUAUGAGUUCAGUCGGUUUGGGGGUUCCUCGGCAUCGGGUCAAUCGUUGGUUUCAAAAUAUGAGUCCAGAUUACUGCUGAAUUUUGGACGCCAACGCCAAGAUCAUGUUUAGUGCACAUUGAAGGAAAAGGUGGACUACAGUUUUCAGGCCCAGCACAGAAAAUACUUGAAUCUAUGGAUUAUAUUCUGACAUUUACUAGAAAGUGUCACGAGCGAGUAGCUUGUUAUUAGCCCAUAACCAACACAGGAAACUUGAAUGUACCUGGUGAGUGAAACAGGGCAGAUCAAGUCAGGUUCGUCAGCAAGGCGAUACUCUUGACAAUCUCAGGCAGAUGGAGCUAUGUAAUGUGUUCAUGGUGGUGCGAGGAGAGUGAGCUUCAGGCCAACACCAUCCACAGUUUUGCCAAUAUUAAAACAGAAUGGAACACAAGGUAGCAAGAAAACAAUGACCAAAUUAAAUACCUCCGAUGGCUCAACAAAACGCGCAUAUAUUUCUCUAGUUACAACUAUACAUGGAAGACAAGGUAGAAUGAGGACAAAGACUGAACCAUAUAUCCCCCGAUGGCACAGGCGCACCAAACCGCGCAUAUAUUUCUAAUUACAACUAUACAUGGAACAAACAAAACUCUAGGCUUGCUUCUCUAUAGCACUACAUACACGUAACAAAAAGAAACUAUACGCCACACCAACCGUCGUAGUCUGAAUCUUACUAAUACUACUACAUACAUGGACCCCUUUGGCAUCACGGCCGGAUCAACAAAUAAAAAUGCUCUCCUAUGUACACGAUAACUGCACCGACCAUGUACAGAUUUGGAGCCCUACCAUCCCUGCUAGCUUCCUGCUAUCUUUCAAAUAAUCCUCUGAUCACCUGCUCCAGUUCCGCUGCGGGACACAUCGGUUUCUCUCGGCUGAUCCUGUCGAACCAAGAUCUUGGAUUUUCCUGUAGUGCUCUCAAGAAGUUCACAUAUUUUGGAACAAUCAAAUCCACUAUCUCUUGACGCAGUCUCCCCUUGAGCACAGUCUGAACCUUCCAAGUCAUCUGGCUAUAACAGAUAGUAAAGAACUCUCCAGUAAAUUUAUCCAAGGACAAACGGCGUGGCUUCCUCAGAGAAUCCCCAUCCAAAUAUCUCAGGAGUGGAACCCAGUAUUUCUCAAGGUAGCUCACGAUGUACUGGUCAAUCAGUGAAACUAAAUUACUCUCUACAUUGGGAGGGAGUAACCCUGAAUGGCAAUUCUUUUGCAAAACAUAAUUUAUGUUAUUCAAGAAGAAUAUGCACCUUUGCCCCUUUUUUUGGAAACUUUUUUCUGCCCACUUGAGCUUAGAUACCAAACAAUCUAACAUGUCAGAGCAUGGGCCAGUGUUGUAACCUCCAGAUUCAAGUAUUGACUGGAUCAUAUCUCUGUUACGGCGGAAAAAUUCCAGGACUUGUAUGAGAAUAAAAGUUGCAGGAUGAAUAAUAGAUUCCUUGUUGCUACGGAUGUCAUUUGAAGUCCUCUGAAUUACUCCUUUGAAAGCAUUCACCAUCUUAUUGAUAAUACCAGCAACCUCACCAGACCCGCUGAAACGCAGGCCUUGUACAUUGAAUAGGACAUCAACAACUGUGUCAAAAACAGUCAGUUGUUGAGAAAUGUGGGCAUCAGACCAAGUUGCAUCAGUGAAUGAACAUGCAACCUCAAGGAUCUGCUCUACAGAUUGCUUGGCUACCACUGCAAAGCAUUCUUCAGCCAAUUCCUGAUUCUGCUCAUGUAAUUGCCGCUUACAUAAACAAACAAGUUUGGUAGUAAUUUUGAGCCUCAUGACCCAAGUCCUUGUUGUUUCAUUGGUCAACUCACAUGGACCUGAAAACCGUUCUGUGCUUGGCGUGAGGAUCAACGGGUUCUCUACAUCUGACAGUCUGCAAUAUGGAAAAGAUUCAGAACGUAUGUACUACAAAAUGCAUACAUACGAGGUUUCUGGAAGUUUCUACAAAUCAUACAGCAUAGGGAACACUAUUGUCCUCACCAAGAACAUCAACUCAACUACACAUUGCAUGAUAUAUCCCAAGAAGAAACCUCAUAAUGUAAAGAAAAACUUAACAGGAUUGAUUAGCUUCAGGUGCUCUGGAUAUGAAAUACAUAUGUUUUCACAAUGUUCCUGGCUUAAAGCAGGAACUUGCGUAAAUAAUUACAACUCUGCCUUUUGGUUUGAAAUGGCUCAAUUUGGACAACUGCUACGCCUUUUAAUGACAUGUCGUUUGGAUAACCUGGCACUGAUGAUAACUCGUGGUUGUCUUGUCUGCAAUGCAUCAGUGCGAUGUACAUGUAUCCCUCCCUUUUUCUUUAUUUAGUAUGACUGGUGUUGAUAAUGAAAGUAUUAUCGCCUACUGAAAUAAUGGCUUGAACUAACAAUGGUUCGUACAUAUUCUUCUUUGCGUACCCACUAAUUUUGACUUCCUACGAAACCAAUGUAAAGAUUAUGGAGCACAUGCACUAAUUUAAACAACCUACAGUACUAUUCACUGUGAACUAAAAAGUGUGCAAAAAAAAUGGCAUUGCCCUAUGGAAGUAGAAAUCGAUAGUGGGCUAGCUAGAAACUCAGUAUGGUAGGAGAACGUCAGAACGGGGCACAAUAAGCCAAAAAAAAAAAUCCUCAAAUACGUCUUGUACAGAUCUUCCAAGUGAUAUUAUGUGUGUGCCAUAAUAGCAGCGAGUCAAAACCUCCGACCCAGUUGAAACAAAAAAACUUGGUAGAUUGCAUCAGACAAGGGAUUCACUAGGUAGUUUUCCUUUGGGAAAGAUUUGCUACGCAGUUUACCAUUGAGAAAUGCAUGUUACUAUACAAAGUGAAGUUCGUGUAUGGAAUAACAAGCAAAACUCGGCGUAGGUACACUGGUAACCUGCGAACUUUGUGUAGGGAAUAACAAGCAAAAGCUCUGUUUUAUGUACAAGGGUAACCUGUGAACUGUGAUGAGAGUGAGAAGGUCAUAUUUCCAGUCUCAGCAUCGAGCAAGAAAUUUUUGUUUGUAGAGAACACGAUGGAGGGCUGUCCAUAUUUGCAUUAAGCAAGAAGACAAAGAUUCGGCACAACAGCAAGAGACAAACAAACAGCUAGAACUAUACGCUUAAGAGGAGCAGUAGACAACCACCACCCUAUAAGAGAAGAUACAUUAGGCAACUAGGAACGGCAUGGUCGCACAACCAAGCAUUGACAGGAAAUGAAGGCAUUUAAACAUUUGUUCAGUUUGAAUAGUUUUGAGAGCAGAAAGCAGGAUGGUUAGGGUGUGGGUUAAACUGAAAUAAGCCCAUGGAUGCACAUCCUGCGGUGUCCCCUAAGCAUGCGCAAGCUGGGAUGGCAGUUUACCCUGGUUCGAAUAUCCACAUUUGGAAGACAGAUAUGUAAGUGCAGUUGGGCAAGUGUAACUGUUCCCACAUUAGGAAACAAGCAUUUCAGUAGUUGAAGAGAUUGCAAUUCGUGUGUGUACCAAUCAGUUGACUUUAAUCGGCUAUGUAAGAACAUCUAGCUAGUUCCCUGCACACAGAAAAGGCAUGCACAACCGCGAAAUCGCAAAUAGAAAGGCACAUUCAGAAAGAGAAAGGACCCCUGUUUCGUGGGAAAAGGGGAAAAGGCAGUGAAAGGAAGUGAUCUGCGGCACCACCCAAAUGGCCAAAAGCGGUGCUGUUCGAAUUGAGCACUGCGAUCCUACAACAACGGACAUGAUCACGAAUUGAACUCUCUAUUGACUGAUGAGCGCGCGUACGGAAACCGAUCAAACACACAGCGGGAAGAAUGACUGGAGUCACUGGACUAAGUCGACCUAUUGACUGAUGAGUGCGUGCGGAAUCGAAUCAAAGGAAGGAUUUAUAUACCUGUGCAGAAGGUCGUCGCCUUGUCGAGCGUCGGGAAGCUGUCGGGCCGAGGCAGUCAAGCCGGGGAAGAAGAGACGGCGAUCCCCUGCUUGGAGGGACUCUAUGGGUGGGUACCAGACGUGCCGGUCGCUGUGGUGUCCGCUCUGCACCUCCUCCUCGUCGGAGUCCGACGAGUCCGCUCGGCGCUGCACGAGAGAGGGGAUCGGGUGGAUCCCGGCGACGAGGGCGACGCAGAGGGCGGCGCUCACCGCGGCCACCUCGGCGCGGUCGAGGAGGCUCGGGGUGCGGCCGGGAGGAACCCCCCGGAUCGGAUCGGCUCCGUCCGCCUCCGGAGCAGCGCGCCGGCCCCCGGAUAGCCACCUGGCGACGGCGCGCGCCUUGGCGGGAACCCAGGCGACGAGGCCUCCGGGCAGAGCGAGCGCGAGGUAGAGCCCCAGCUCCAGCGCCUGGUCCUCCGGGGGAGGGGCGUAAUCCGCCAUGCCGACGAGCGACGCUUUGCGCUGGCGGCGGCGGAGGGGAUUGGGGUUGGGUUGGGGGGAAAAGACGGUGGUGCGCUGCGCUGCGCGCCUUGGAGUGGAGCUGUGGAGGGAGACGCCGCUCUUCCCUGCCUGCCUGCCCCUGCUUUUGUUUCUCCCGCUCGGCGCCAGGUUGCGUGGCGGGUCAAAUUGUCAACAGCGGGUGGGGCCGACGUUGCCGCCGCCCGAAAAUAGUUUAUUCCAACGUGCCAGGGAACUAUUGUUUUCUUGUGCGCCAGAUGAACCACUAGUGUGCCAGCGUUACAUCUAAUUUUUGCUCCGAACUUUCAACCAUUGUCUUGGUUCGGCGUUGUCCCGGCCGUUUUCAUUUACGAAGGAUUCGAAUUCUAUGCCAGUAAUUUGAUUCCAGUACUAUUUGAUAGUCGAUUGGUUCCCAGUUCAGUUUCAAUCAGAUAUUGUGCACCAAAUUAAAAAUAAAUAAAUCAUUUUUAGUAAAGACAAUGGCUGGAUCUUGGCACCAUAGAGCUGAAUCUUUUCCACAUGGCACACAAAAAAAGGGUCAAAUAUAAAAAAUUCUCCAAAAAGACAAAGAAAAUCAAAAAUCAAAUAAUACGCUUAUCACCAGGAUGGCAGGAUCUAGAAGCUCAGCUCCGCUUUGACGUGCCGCUAUCCCAUCUUCUCCUCCUCCCUGACAGCUCCACUCGAAUACUCCGAUCCGCUGUUAUUUUCCACGACACUAGAAAAAUCCACUGUUGUGAAAUGGAGUACCAUCUUUCUGCGAGGGGUACCGUUGAAAGAAAUUAUAUUUCUGCGACGGAUAUGGCGCGGACGUGUCAGCGUGCGCCAAGGAUGGUGCGCCCACACGGCAGAGACGCAGGCGCGGACUUUCCAAGCCCAGCCAGGCCGCUUUCCACGGCGAGGCGUUGGUCCACCGGUUUAAUUUCCUUUUUCUUUUUUUUUUGCACAUGGACCAGCAGUUUAUAGUUUACUCGACCGCCUACCAACGCCGCGCACGUAGUAGCCCCUGAAAAGGGCCGUACGAACAUCUCGUCCUUUUCCUCCUGUCACAGACAGAUUCUUCCCCCCAAAAAAGGCAUCUCGUUUUCAUUUAUUUUUGAUGAAUCAACAAACUUUAUCUCAUCAGACCAUCUCAUGCUAGUAUGACCAAAAACAUCAAAGCCUUCCGGCUUGCUGUGCGCCUCAUGGAGGCGUGCCCACGCCACGAUCUGACAGAGGGACCUACCGCCGUUUGGGUUGCGGCGGACAAAAUUGUCAGCCCAACGCGCCGACACAAACGCAAAAUGCGUCCGCUUGCUGUCAGUGCCAACUCAUUCCAGGCUCAGAUUUGAGCUGGAAAUGCGUCGGCACGGACACGAAGUGGACGCGCCGCGCGUCCCCUUAGUGUCAGCCGCAGCCCCACAAGUCAGCGGGCCAACCACCACAGGCGGCAGUGUGUGCAAGGGUCGCGUGCCUGUCCUUUUUAAUUGAUGUGCACGGCGGGGCUGGCCUCAUCCACUUCCAUCUCCUCCGUCCACAUCUGGCCACGCUUGUUCCCUCGCCAGCAAUAGCGACCAGCAAACCCUAACGAACUAAACCCUAGCCAGCCAACCACCAGCCAUGGGCUUCUUCAGGGGGAAAGGAAAGGGGAGGUUCAGCUCCGGCGCGAGCUCUUCCCGCAUGCAGCCUCCUGCCCCGGCUAGAUGCGGCUCGCCACCGCGGGAGGGAGCGGGAGCGGCUGUACAUACCAAUCCACCUGGCGCAGUGGCAUUGGCAGUACCGCCGCCCACUGCAGUAUCCGGAUGUCAACAUGUUGCACGACUGGCAUCUGGACCCACAACGGAUCCCCAUUCAGGCAGUGCCGCGCACGCUGAGGAGGUUUGCCGGUGUCGCGAGGUCCUUAUGCCCGAGCAGCGCACGAUGCUUGCGUACUGUUGGGAAACGUAGUAAUUUCAAAAAAAAUUCUACGCACACGCAAGAUCAUGGUGAUGCAUAGCAACGAGAGAGGAGAGUGUUGUCUACGUACCCUCGUAGACCGAAGCGGAAGCGUUGACACAACGUAGAGGAAGUAGUCGUACGUCUUCCCGAUCCGACCGAUCCAAGCACCGUUACUCCGGCACCUCCGAGUUCUUGGCACACGUUCAGCUCGAUGACGUGCCCCUAGCUUCGAUCCAGCAAAGCUUUGGGGACGAGUUCCGUCAGCACGACGGCGUGGUGACGAUCUUGAUGUUCUACCGGUGCAGGGCUUCACCUAAGCACUGCAACGAUAUAUUCGAGGUGGAAUAUGGUGGAGGGGGGCACCGCACACGGCUAAGAAACGAUCACGAAGAUCAACUUGUGUGUCAUGGGGUGCCCCCCUGCCCACGUAUAUAAAGGAGCAAAGGGGAGGGGGCGGCCGGCCUAGGGGGGGCGUGCCAAGGAGGGGGAAACCUACUCCAAGUAGGUUUGCCCCUCCCUUUCCUAUUCCAACUAGGACAAGAGGGGAAGGAGGAGGAAGGGAGAAGGAAGGAGAGGGGGGCCGCGCCCCCUUCCCUUGUCCAAUUCGGACUAGGGCAAGGAGGGCCGCGCGCCACCUCCUGGCUGCCCUCUCUCUUCUCCACUAAAGCCCAUUAAGGCCCAAUAACCCCCCGGGGCUCCGGUAAAAUGCCGAUUUCACCCGGAACGAUUCCGAUGUCCAAAUAUAGGCUUCCAAUAUAUCGAUCUUUAUGUCUCGAGCAUUUCGAGACACCUCGUCAUGUCCGUGAUCACAUCCGGGACUCCGAACAACCUUCGGUACAUCAAAAUGCAUAAACUCAUAAUAACUGUCAUCGUAACGUUAAGCGUGCGGACCCUACGGUUCGAGAACAAUGUAGACAUGACCGAGACACAUCUCCGGUCAAUAACCAAUAGCGGGACCUGGAUGCCCAUAUUGGCUCCUACAUAUUCUACGAAGAUCUUUAUCGGUCAGACCGCAUAACAACAUACGUUGUUCCCUUUGUCAUCGGUAUGUUACUUGCCCGAGAUUCGAUAGUCGGUAUCUCAAUACCUAGUUCAAUCUCGUUACCGGCAAGUCUCUUUACUCGUUCCGUAAUACAUCAUCUCGCAACUAACUCAUUAGUUGCAAUGCUUGCAAGGCUUAUGUGAUGUGCAUUACCGAGAGGGCCCAGAGAUACCUCUCCGACAAUCGGAGUGACAAAUCCUAAUCUCGAAAUACGCCAACCCAACAAGUACCUUCGGAGACACCUGUAGAGCACCUUUAUAAUCACCCAGUUACGUUGUGACGUUUGGUAGCACACAAAGUGUUCCUCCGGUAAACGGGAGUUGCAUAAUCUCAUAGUCAUAGGAACAUGUAUAAGUCAUGAAGAAAGCAAUAGCAACAUACUAAAUGAUCGGGUGCUAAGCUAAUGAAAUGGGUCAUGUCAAUCAGAUCAUUCAACUAAUGAUGUGACCUCGUUAAUCAAAUAACAACUCUUUGUCUAUGGUUAGGAAACAUAACCAUCUUUGAUUAACGAGCUAGUCAAGUAGAGGCAUACUAGUGACACUAUGUUUGUCUAUGUAUUCACACAUGUAUUAUGUUUCCGGUUAAUACAAUUCUAGCAUGAAUAAUAAACAUUUAUCAUGAAAUAAGGAAAUAAAUAAUAACUUUAUUAUUGCCUCUAGGGCAUAUUUCCUUCAGUCUCCCACUUGCACUAGAGUCAAUAAUCUAGAUUACACAGUAAUGAUUCUCACACCCAUGGAGUUUUGGUGCUGAUCAUGUUUUGCUCGUGGAAGAGGCUUAGUCAACGGGUGUGCAACAUUCAGAUCCGUAUGUAUCUUGCAAAUCUCUAUGUCUCCCACCUGGACUAGAUCCCGGAUGGAAUUGAAGCGUCUCUUGGUGUGCUUGGUUCUCUUGUGAAAUCUGGAUUCCUUUGCUAAGGCAAUUGCACCAGUAUUGUCACAAAAUAUUUUCAUUGGACCCGAUGCACUAGGUAUGACACCUAGAUCGGAUAUGAACGCCUUCAUCCAGACUCCUUCGUUUGCUGCUUCCGAAGCAGCUAUGUACUCCGCUUCACAUGUAGAUCCCGCCACAACGCUUUGUUUAGAACUGCACCAACUGACAGCUCCACCGUUUAAUGUAAACACGUAUCCGGUUUGCGAUUUAGAAUCGUCCGGAUCAGUGUCAAAGCUUGCAUCAACGUAACCGUUUACGAUGAGCUCUUUGUCACCUCCAUAUACGAGAAACAUAUCCUUAGUCCUUUUCAGGUACUUCAGGAUGUUCUUGACCGCUGUCCAGUGAUCCACUCAUGGAUUACUUUGGUACCUCCCUGCUAAACUUAUAGCAAGGCACACAUCAGGUCUGGUACACAGCAUUGCAUACAUGAUAGAGCCUAUGGCUGAAGCAUAGGGAACAUCUUUCAUUUUCUCUCUAUCUUCUGCAGUGGUCGGGCAUUGAGUCUUACUCAACUUCACACCAUGUAACACAGGCAAGAAUCCUUUCUUUGCUUGAUCCAUUUUGAACUUCUUCAAAACUUUGUCAAGGUAUGUGCUUUGUGAAAGUCCAAUUAAGCGUCUUGAUCUAUCUCUAUAGAUCUUAAUGCCCAAUAUGUAAGCAGCUUCACUGAGGUCUUUCAUUGAAAAACUCUUAUUCAAGUAUCCUUUUAUUCUAUCCAGAAAUUCUAUAUCAUUUCCGAUUAGUAAUAUGUCAUCCACAUAUAAUAUCAGAAAUGCUACAGAGCUCCCACUCACUUUCUUGUAAAUACAGGCUUCUCCAAAAGUCUGCACAAACCCAAAUGCUUUGAUCACACUAUCAAAGCGUUUAUUCCAACUCUGAGAUGCUUGCACCAGUCCAUAAAUGGAUCGCUGGAGUUUGCAUACUUUGUUAGCUCCCUUUGGAUCGAUAAAACCUUCUGGUUGCAUCAUAUACAACUCUUCUUCCAGAAAUCCAUUCAGGAAUGCAGUUUUUACAUCCAUUUGCCAAAUUUCAUAAUCAUAAAAUGCGGCAAUUGCUAACAUGAUUCGGACAGACUUAAGCAUCGCUACGGGUGAGAAGGUCUCAUCGUAGUCUUUAUCCUGUCGAGAGAGCCUCGGAUAAAAAUUAGUAAUAAUCAUAUCUUUGGGGAGCCCAUGGUUAGGACAUUUUAGCAUUAACGUUUUCAGUCUCCCCCAAGCUUGAGCUAUGCUCUCUCCGUCAUGAGGAUAAAAAUUAUAAACAUAAUUCCUACUCUCAUGGACUUCAUGAAGAGGAUAAAACUUGGAGUAAAAGAGAGACUGGAUCUCUUCCCACUCCAGCGGGUGAGAGUCAUUUAGUAGCCUAUACCAUUCCAAUGCUUUUCCUUUCACUGAAAAGGCAAAUAAUUUCCUCAUGACAAACUCCCUUGAUACACCUGCAAGCUUAAAUAAUGAGCAUAGUUGUGACAGAUAUAGCAAGUGUUCACCGGGAUGUCUGUCUCCUGCAUAACGAUUAGCCAAAACAUAAUCGAUAAUACCAGCUGGUAUUUUAUAGGGCACAAUUUCAGUAGGGGGAGGAGCAACCACCACAGGUGUGGGGCGUCUUCCCGCAAGCAACGAUCCAAUAGCAAGGUUGUCCAUAAGCAUAACUAGUGAAAUAAAAACAAGAAACAAAAAGAUUUAAUUGCAAGAUCUAAAGAUAUACCUUCAAGCGCUCACCUCCCCGGCAACGGCGCCAGAAAUAGCUUGAUGUCUACACACGCUUCUACUCUUGUAGACUAUGUUGGGCCUCCAAGCGCAGAGGUUUGUAGGACAGCAGCAAUUUCCCUCAGGUGGAUGACCUAAGGUUUAUCGAACUCAGGGAAGUAGAGGUUGAAGAUGGUCUCUCUCAAGCAACCCUGCAACUAAGAUACAAGAAGUCUCUUGUGUCCCCAACACACCUAAUACACUUGUUAGAUGUAUAGGCGCACUAGUUCGGCGAAGAGAUGUUAAAUGGCAAGUGAUAUGGAUGGCAAAACAAAGUAAUAUAAAUCUGUAAUAAAAAGUGCAGCAAGCAAACAAGUGGUAAACGUGAGCACAAAUGGUAUUGCAAUGGGGGAAACAAGGCCUAGGGUUCAUACUUUCACUAGUGGCAACUCCCAACAACAUUAACAUAAUCGAAUCACAUGAUAUUUCCCAUAAAACAUGCAAAGGGGACGCACCCGGAGGUCAUUCCUUCGUGGUCAAGAGAGGACGAGAAUUAUGUAGGGCUACAAAAGCACACCUCAAAGUUCGUAGUUCUCAAUCUAAGGAUUUCCAAUGUCACCGCGGCCAUCCAAAGAGAGUCCCACAAUCACCACAACAUAUCUAAAGGAUAGUCAAAGACAAGCACCAAGAGACUCUCAAUCUUCAAUCAACACACAAGAGAGGAAAUCACUCAUGAAAAUAUUUUUCUAAUCCAUGUCCAAUAGACCGCUGUCACCUUAGUCUCGGGGAUUAUACUAGAUAAAGACAAGUGAGUACAUCAAUCCAAUACAUAGAGGAAGGGGAAAUAUCAUGGGAUCACCCUAGAUUAACAUAGCCUAUGAUCACAACGAAGAUCACAUCAUGGGAGAGAGAAUUGACCACAUAGCUACUGGUAGAAACCUCAGCCCCGAGGAGGAACUACCCCCGCAUCAUGAAGGAAGGAAGCAACGUCGAUGGAGAUGAAUCCGGGGGCACUUCCCCGUCCCGGCAGGGUGCCGGCACAGGAAUUCUGUGAAGGAAAUAUGCCCUAGAGGCAAUAAUAAAGUUAUUAUUUAUUUCCUUAUUUCAUGAUAAAUGUUUAUUAUUCAUGCUAGAAUUGUAUUAACCGGGAAACAUAAUACAUGUGUGAAUACAUAGACAAACAGAGUGUCACUAGAAUGCCUCUACUUGACUAGCUCGUUAAUCAAAGAUGGUUGAGUUUCCUAACCAUAGACAAAGGAGUUGUCAUUUGAUUAACGAGGUCACAUCAUUGGUUGAAUGAUCUGAUUAACAUGACCCAUUUCUAUUAGCUUAGCACCUGAUCGUUUAGUGUGUUGCUAUUGCUUUCAUCCAUAACUUAUACAUGUUCCUAUGACUAUGAGAUUAUGCAACUCCCGUUUGCCGGAGGAACACUUUGGGUGCUACCAAACGUCACAACGUAACUGGGUGAUUAUAAAGGAGUACUACAGGUGUCUCCAAAGGUAGAUGUUGGGUUGGCGUAUUUCGAGAUUAGGAUUUGUCACUCCGAAAGUCGGAGAGGUAUCUCUGGGCCCUCUCGGUAAUGCACAUCACAUAAGCCUUGCAAGCACUGCAACUAAUGAGUUAGUUGUGAGAUGAUGUAUUACGGAACGAGUAAAGAGACUUACCGGUAACGAGAUUGAAAUAGGUAUUGGAUACCGGCGAUCGAAUCUCGGGUAAGUAACAUACCGAUGACAAAGGGAACAAACGUAUGUUGUUAUGCGGUCUGACCGAUAAAGAUCUUCGUAGAAUAUGUAGGAGCCAAUAUGGGCAUCCAGGUCCUGCUAUUGGUUAUUGACCGGAGACAUGUCUCGGUCAUGUCUACAUUGUUCUCGAACCGUAGGGUCCGCACGCUUAAGGUUUCCAUGACGGUUAUUAUGAGUUUGUGUAUUUUGAUGUACCGAAGGAGUUCGGAGUCCCGGAUGUGAUCACGGACAUGACGAGGAGUCUCGAAAUGGUCGAGACAUAAAGAUUGAUAUAUUGGAAGCCUAUGUUUGGACUUCAGAAACGUUCCGGGUGAAAUCGGCAAUUUUACCGGAGUACCGGGGGGUUACCGGAACCCCCCGGGGGGUUAUUGGGCCCUAGUGGGCCAUAAGGGAGAAGAGAGGAGAGAGGGCAGAGGUGGCCGCGCGCCCCUCCCUUCCUAGUCCGAAUAGGACAAGGGAAGGGGGGCGGCGCCCCCCCUUUCCUUCCUCUCCUCCACUUCCCUCUCCCCUUCUCCUCUUCCAAGUAGGAGUCCUACUCCCGGUGGGAGUAGGACUCCCCUAUUGGCGCGCCAAGGCUGGCUGGCCGGCCUCCCCCUUGCUCCUUUAUAUACGGGGGCAGGGGGGCACCCCAAGACACACAAGUUGAUCCUUGAGAUCGUUCCUUAGCCGUGUGCGGUGCCCCCUUCCACCAUAUUCCACCUCGGUCGUACCGUUGCAGUGCUUAGGCGAAGCCCUGCGAUAGUAGAACAUCAAGAUCGUCACCACGCCGUCGUGCUGACGGAACUCUCUCCCCGGAGCUUUGCUGGAUCGGAGCCCGAGGAGCGUCACCGAGCUGUACGUGUGCCAAGAACUCGGGGGCGCCGGAGUAACGGCGCCGGGAUCGGUUGGAUCGCGAGGAGAACGUACGACUACUUCCUCUACGUUGUGAUCGCUUCCGCUUCAGGUCUACAAGGGUAUGUAGACAACACUCUCCCCCUUGUUGCUAUGCAUCACCAUGAUCUUGCGUGUGCAUAGGAAAUUUUUUGAAAUUACUACGUUCCCCAACAGUGGCAUCCGAGCCUAGGUUUUUUAUGGUUUGAUGUUAUAUGCACGAGUAGAACACAAGUGAGUUGUGGACGAUACAAGUCAUACUGCCUACCAGCAUGUCAUACUUUGGUUCAGCGGUAUUGUUGGAUGAGAUGACCCGGACCAACCUUACGCGUACGCUUACGCGAGACCGGUUCCCUCGACGUGCUUUGCACACACAUGGCUUGCGGGAGACAUCUCACCAACUUUAGUUGAACCAAGUAUGGCUACGCCCGGUCCUUGAGAAGGUUAAAACGGAGUCUAUUUGACGAACUAUCGUUAUGGUUUUGAUGCGUAGGUAAGAUGAUUUCUUGCUUAAGCCCGUAGCAGCCACGUAAAACUUGCAACAAACAAAGUAGAGGACGUCUAACUUGUUUUUGCAGGGCAUGUUGUGAUGUGAUAUGGUCAAGACAUGAUGCUAAAUUUUAUUGUAUGAGAUGAUCAUGUUUUGUAACCGAGUUAUCGGCAACUGGCAGGAGCCAUAUGGUUGUCGCUUUAUUGUAUGCAAUGCAAUCGCCCUGUAAUGCUUUACUUUAUCACUAAGCGGUAGCGAUAGUCGUAGAAGCAUAAGAUUGGCGAGACGACAACGAUGCUACGAUGGAGAUCAAGGUGUCGCGCCGGUGACGAUGGUGAUCAUGAUGGUGCUGCAGAGAUGGAGAUCAUGAAGCACAAGAUGAUGAUGACCAUAUCAUAUCACUUAUAUUGAUUUGCAUGUGAUGUUUAUCUUUUUAUGCAUCUUAUCUUACUUUGAUUGACGGUAGCAUUAUAAGAUGAUCUCUCACUAAAUUAUCAAGAAGUGUUCUCCCCGAGUAUGCACCGUUGCCAAAGUUCGUCGUGCCCAGACACCACGUGAUGAUCGGGUGUGAUAAGCUCUACGUCCAUCUACAACGGGUGCAAGCCAGUUUUGCACACGCAGAAUACUCGGGUUAUACUUGACGAGCCUAGCAUAUGCAGAUAUGGCCUCGGAACACGGAGACCGAAAGGUCGAGCGUGAAUCAUAUAGUAGAUAUGAUCAACAUGAUGAUGUUCACCAUUGAGAACUAAUCCAUUUCACGUGAUGAUCGGUUAUGGCUUAGUUUGAUUUGGAUCACGUGAUCACUUAGAUGAUUAGAGGGAUGUCUAUCUAAGUGGGAGUUCUUAAGUAAUAUGAUUAAUUGAACUUAAAUUUAUCAUGAACUUAGUCCCUGAUAGUAUCUUGCUUGUUUAUGUUGAUUGUAGAUAGAUGGCUCGUGCUGUUGUUCCGUUGAAUUUUAAUGCGUUCCUUGAGAAAGCAAAGUUGAAAGAUGAUGGUAGCAAUUACACGGACUAGGUCCGUAACUUGAGGAUUAUCCUCAUUGCUGCACAGAAGAGUUACGUCCUAGAUGCACCGCUAGGUGCCAGGCCUGCUGCUGGAGCAACGCCAGAUGUUAUGAACGUCUGGCAGAGCAAAGCUAAUGACUACUCGAUAGUUCAGUGUGCCAUGCUUUACGGCUUAGAACCGGGACUUCAACGUCGGUUUGAGAACCAUGGAGCAUAUGAGAUGUUCCAGGAGUUGAAGUUGAUAUUCCAACAGAAUGCCCGGAUUGAGAGAUAUGAAGUCUCCAAUAAGUUCUAAAGCUGCAAAAUGGAGGAGAAUGGGUCUGUCAGUGAUCACAUACUUAGAAUGUCUGGGUAUUACAAUCACUUGAGUCAGCUGGGAGUUAAUCUUCCGGAUGAUUGUGUCAUUGACAGAAUUCUUCAAUCACUGCCACCAAGCUAUAAAGGCUUCGUGAUGAACUAUAAUAUGCAAGGGUUAGUAAAGACUAUGCCCAAGCUCUUCGCAAUGCUAAAGGCUGCGGAGGUAGAAAUCAAGAAGGAGCAUCAAGUGUUGAUGGUCAAUAAGACCACUAGUUUCAAGAAAAAGGGCAAAGGGAAGAAGAACGGGAACUUCAAGAAGAACAGCAAGCAAGUUGCUGCUCAGGAGAAGAAACCCAAGUCUGGACCUAAGCCUGAAACUGAGUGCUUCUACUACAAGCAGACUGGUCACUGGAAGCGGAACUGCCCCAAGUAUUUGGCGGAUAAGAAGGAUGGCAAGGUGAACAAAGGUAUAUGUGAUAUACAUGUUAUUGAUGUGUACCUUACUAGAGCUCGCAGUAGUACCUGGGUAUUUGAUACUGGUUUUGUUGCUAAUAUUUGCAACUCGAAACAGGGACUACGGAUUAAGCGGACACUAGCAAAGGACGAGGUGACGAUGCGCGUGGGAAAUGGUUCCAAAGUCGAUGUGAUCGCGGUCGGCACGCUACCUCUACAUCUACCUUCGGGAUUAGUAUUGGACCUAAAUAAUUGUUAUUUGGUGCCAGCGUUGAGCAUGAACAUUAUAUUUGGAUCUUGUUUGAUGCGAGACGGUUAUUCAUUUAAAUCAGAGAAUAAUGGUUGUUCUAUUUAUAUGAGUAACAUCUUUUAUGGUCAUGCACCCUUAAAGAGUGGUCUAUUUUUGAUGAAUCUCGAUAGUAGUGAUACACAUAUUCAUAAUGUUGAAGCCAAAAGAUGCAGAGUUGAUAAUGAUAGUGCAACUUAUUUGUGGCACUGCCGUUUAGGUCAUAUCGGUGUAAAGCGCAUGAAGAAACUCCAUACUGAUGGACUUUUGGAGUCACUUGAUUAUGAAUCACUUGGCACUUGCGAACCGUGCCUCAUGGGCAAGAUGACUAAAACACCGUUCUCCGGUACUAUGAAGAGAGCAACAGACUUGUUGGAAAUCAUACAUACGGAUGUAUGUGGUCCGAUGAAUGUUGAGGCUCGUGGCGGAUAUCGUUAUUUUCUCACCUUCACAGAUGAUUUGAGCAGAUAUGGGUAUAUCUACUUAAUGAAACACAAGUCUGAAACAUUUGAAAAAGAAUUUCAGAGUGAAGUUGAAAAUCAUCGUAACAAGAAAAUAAAGUUUCUACGAUCUGAUCGUGGAGGAGAAUAUUUGAGUUACGAGUUUGGUCUACAUUUGAAACAAUGCGGAAUAGUUUCGCAACUCACGCCACCCGGAACACCACAGCGCAAUGGUGUGUCCAAACGUCGUAAUCGCACUUUACUUGAUAUGGUGCGAUCUAUGAUGUCUCUUACAGAUUUACCGCUAUCGUUUUGGGGUUAUGCUCUUGAGACGACUGCAUUCACGUUGAAUAGAACACCGUCAAAAUCCGUUGAGACGACACCUUAUGAACUAUGGUUUAGCAAGAAACCAAAGUUGUCGUUUCUUAAAGUUUGGGGCUGCGAUGCUUAUGUGAAAAAGCUUCAACCUGAUAAGCUCGAACCCAAAUCGGAGAAGUGUGUCUUCAUAGGAUACCCAAAGGAGACAGUUGGGUACACCUUCUAUCACAGAUCCGAAGGCAAGACAUUUGUUGCUAAAAAUGGAUCCUUUCUAGAGAAGGAGUUUCUCUCGAAAGAAGUGAGUGGGAGGAAAGUAGAACUUGAUGAGGUAACUGUACCUUCUCCAUUAUUGGAAAGUAGCUUAUCUCAGAAACCGGUUUCUGAGACAUCUACACCAAAUAGUGAGGAAGUUGAUGAUGUUGAUCAUGAAGCUUCAGAUCAAGUUACUACGGAACCUCGUAGAUCAACCAGAGUAAGAUCCGCACCAGAGUGGUACGGUAAUCCUGUUCUGGAAGUCAUGCUACUAGAUCAUGAUGAACGUACGAACUAUGAAGAAGCGAUGGUGAGCCCAGAUUCCGCAAAGUGGCUUGAAGCCAUGAAAUCUGAGAUGGGAUCCAUGUAUGAGAACAAAGUGUGGACUUUGGUUGACUUGCCCGAGGGUCGGCAAGCAAUAGAAAACAAGUGGAUCUUUAAGAAGAAGACUGACGCUGACGGUAAUGUUACUGUCUACAAAGCUCGACUUGUCGCAAAGGGUUUCCGACAAGUUCAAGGGAUUGACUACGAUGAGACCUUCUCACCCGUAGCGAUGCUUAAGUCUGUCCGAAUCAUGUUAGCAAUUGCCGCAUUUUAUGAUUAUGAAAUUUGGCAAAUGGAUGUAAAAACUGCAUUCCUGAAUGGAUUUCUGGAAGAAGAGUUGUAUAUGAUGCAACCAGAAGGUUUUAUCGAUCCAAAGGGAGCUAACAAAGUGUGCAAGCUCCAGCGAUCCAUUUAUGGACUGGUGCAAGCAUCUCGGAGUUGGAAUAAACAUUUUGAUAGUGUGAUCAAAGCAUUUGGGUUUGUACAGACUUUUGGAGAAGCCUGUAUUUACAAGAAAGUGAGUGGGAGCUCUGUAGCAUUUCUGAUAUUAUAUGUGGAUGACAUAUUGCUGAUCGGAAAUGAUAUAGAAUUUCUGGAUAGCAUAAAGGGAUACUUGAAUAAGAGUUUUUCAAUGAAAGACCUCGGUGAAGCUGUCUACAUAUUGGGCAUCAAGAUCUAUAGAGAUAGAUCAAGACGCUUAAUUGGACUUUCACAAAGCACAUACCUUGACAAAGUUUUGAAGAAGUUCAAAAUGGAUCAAGCAAAGAAAGGGUUCUUGCCUGUGUUGCAAGGUGUGAAGUUGAGUAAGACUCAAUGCCCGACCACAGCAGAGGAUAGAGAGAAAAUGAAGGAUGUUCCCUAUGCUUCAGCCAUAGGCUCUAUCAUGUAUGCAAUGCUGUGUACCAGACCUGAUGUGUGCCUUGCUAUUAGCUUAGAAGGGAGGUACCAAAGUAAUCCAGGAGAGGAUCACUGGACAGCGGUCAAGAAUAUCCUGAAGUACCUGAAAAGGACUAAGGAGAUGUUUCUCGUAUAUGGAGGUGACAAAGAGCUCAUCGUAAGUGGUUACGUUGAUGCAAGCUUUGACACUGAUCCGGACGAUUCGAAAUCGCAAACCGGAUACGUAUUUACAUUAAACGGUGGAGCUGUCAGUUGGUGCAGUUCUAAACAAAGCGUCGUAGCGGGAUCUACAUGUGAAGCGGAGUACAUAGCGGCUUCGGAAGCAGUUAAUGAAGGAGUCUGGAUGAAGGAGUUCAUAUCCGAUCUAAGUGUCAUACCUAGUGCAUCGGGUCCAAUGAAAAUCUUUUGUGACAAUACUGGAGCAAUUGCCUUGGCGAAGGAAUCCAGAUUUCACAAGAGAACCAAGCACAUCAAGAGACGCUUCAAUUCCAUCCGGGACUUGGUCCAGGUGGGAGACAUAGAGAUUUGCAAGAUACAUACGGAUCUGAAUGUAGCAGACCCGUUGACUAAGCCUCUUCCACGAGCAAAACAUGAUCAACACCAAAACUCCAUGGGUGUUAGAAUCAUCACUGUGUAAUCUAGAUUAUUGACUCUAGUGCAAGUGGGAGACUGAAGGAAAUAUGCCCUAGAGGCAAUAAUAAAGUUAUUAUUUAUUUCCUUAUUUCAUGAUAAAUGUUUAUUAUUCAUGCUAGAAUUGUAUUAACCGGGAAACAUAAUACAUGUGUGAAUACAUAGACAAACAUAGUGUCACUAGUAUGCCUCUACUUGACUAGCUCGUUAAUCAAAGAUGGUUAUGUUUCCUAACCAUAGACAAAGAGUUGUUAUUUGAUUAACGAGGUCACAUCAUUAGUUGAAUGAUCUGAUUGACAUGACCCAUUUCAUUAGCUUAGCACCCGAUCGUUUAGUAUGUUGCUAUUGCUUUCUUCAUGACUUAUACAUGUUCCUAUGACUAUGAGAUUAUGCAACUCCCGUUUACCGGAGGAACACUUUGUGUGCUACCAAACGUCACAACGUAACUGGGUGAUUAUAAAGGUGCUCUACAGGUGUCUCCGAAGGUACUUGUUGGGUUGGCGUAUUUCGAGAUUAGGAUUUGUCACUCCGAUUGUCGGAGAGGUAUCUCUGGGCCCUCUCGGUAAUGCACAUCACAUAAGCCUUGCAAGCAUUGCAACUAAUGAGUUAGUUGCGAGAUGAUGUAUUACGGAACGAGUAAAGAGACUUGCCGGUAACAAGAUUGAACUAGGUAUUGAGAUACCGACUAUCGAAUCUCGGGCAAGUAACAUACCGAUGACAAAGGGAACAACGUAUGUUGUUAUGCGGUCUGACCGAUAAAGAUCUUCGUAGAAUAUGUAGGAGCCAAUAUGGGCAUCCAGGUCCCGCUAUUGGUUAUUGACCGGAGACAUGUCUCGGUCAUGUCUACAUUGUUCUCGAACCGUAGGGUCCGCACGCUUAAGGUUUCGAUGACGGUUAUUAUGAGUUUGUGUAUUUUGAUGUACCGAAGGAGUUCGGAGUCCCGGAUGUGAUCACGGACAUGACGAGGAGUCUCGAAAUGGUCGAGACAUAAAGAUUGAUAUAUUGGAAGCCUAUGUUUGGACUUCGGAAACGUUCCGGGUGAAAUCGGCAAUUUUACCGGAGUACCGGGGGGUUACCGGAACCCCCCGGGGGGUUAUUGGGCCCUAGUGGGCCAUAAGGGAGAAGAGAGGAGAGAGGGCAGAGGUGGCCGCGCUCCCCUCCCUUCCUAGUCCGAAUAGGACAAGGGAAGGGGGGCGGCGCCCCCCUUUCCUUCCUCUCCUCCACUUCCCUCUCCCCUUCUCCUCUUCCAAGUAGGAGUCCUACUCCCGGUGGGAGUAGGACUCCCCUAUUGGCGCGCCAAGGCUGGCCGGCCGGCCUCCCCCUUGCUCCUUUAUAUACGGGGGCAGGGGGGCACCCCAAGACACAGAAGUUGAUCCUUGAGAUCGUUCCUUAGCCGUGUGCGGUGCCCCCUUCCACCAUAUUCCACCUCGGUCGUACCGUUGCAGUGCUUAGGUGAAGCCCUGCGAUAGUAGAACAUCAAGAUCGUCACCACGCCGUCGUGCUGACGGAACUCUCUCCCCAGAGCUUUGCUGGAUCGGAGCCCGAGGAGCGUCACCGAGCUGUACGUGUGCCAAGAACUCGGGGGCGCCGGAGUAACGGCGCCGGGAUCGGUUGGAUCGCGAGGAGAACGUAUGACUACUUCCUCUAUGUUGUGAUCGCUUCCGCUUCAGGUCUACAAGGGUAUGUAGACAACACUCUCCCCCUCGUUGCUAUGCAUCACCAUGAUCUUGCGUGUGCGUAGGAAUUUUUUUGAAAUUACUACGUUCCCCAACAUUCUGGUCCCCUAAAGCUUGAUGGCGAUGGCGGCGGAGAUCGGAAUUGCGUCUGGAGAAAAGGGGUCCGGGAUCAUGGUUUCUGCGACGGGUGUUAAAUAUAUGCCAAAGGGGGGCAUCAACGGAGGCCUGGGGGGCCCAGGCGCCCCCCCCGGCGCGGCCAGGAGGGGGGUCGCGCCACCAGGGCGCCUGGAGCCCUGGUGGCCCCCCUCCGGCUCUACUUCGGGUGCGUGGAAGCUUCCGGAACGCUGAUUUUUUAUAUAAUUUUUCCGGAAUUUUUCUGGCAAUUUUCGUAAUGGGAAAACCUGAAAUACAAAAACAGCAGAAAACAGAAACUCGCACUGGGGUGCACUGAGUUAAUAGGUUAGUCCAAAUAUGAUCAAAAGUUUAUGGAAGUGUAUAAAUAUCAUAGCAAUAUCACCCAAAAGAGGCAUGGAGCAAGCAGAAAUUAUAGAUACGUUUUGGACGUAUCAACAUCCCCAAGCUUAAUUCCUGCUCGUCCUCGAGUAGGUAAAUGAUAACAAGAAUAAUUUCUGUGGUGACAUGCUAUUAACCAUAUAGGACUUUUCAUAGUCACAUGGCAAAAGCUUACUGAGACAAUGAAUCUGUAGUAAUUAAGUCGCCUUGUGAGAAAAUCACAAAGAACUGAAAGUUUUACAACAUGAUACUGAAACAUCAAAUAGAUUUGUAAUGAGCAUGGUGUGCAAAUAUAAUAAAGUGAUAUCUCGCUUGCCCCCUUUAGUGAAGCAAAAAAUAAAUGCAGGGGCACCUCCAAGGUUCAAGUGAUGACUAGAUACAAUGAUUUCAGAAUAAAUGAUAUCACAAUCAUGCAAGAGACAAUGCUACUUUGGGACAAUGCACAUUACACUCAGAAUGACAAUCAUGCUCUCAGUAGUUGGUGCUUUAGAGAAGGUGGAGACUCUCGAACCAUGGCUUUUGUUGGCAAGGUUGAAAACCCGUGGUCGGAAACAAAGACAAAGCAUGUACCAGAGCUCUUGGUUUUAAAAACAGAAGUAAAAAUUAUUUUUUCGAGAGGUGCAUAUUUCGUCAACGAAUGCUAGCAGAUAACUCAAUCACUUCUUGAGCUGGACAAGUUUCGAGGAACGACUCCCGUAUGAGGACGAUAAUAUCCUCUUAAUAUCCUUUGUUUAUCACUGCCAAAGUUUUCUGAUUUCUCAUGAACAAAGCAUGAAGGAGGGUUUGUUUGUUGUAUUAUCUUUUAUGAGCCAGGCGCACUCUAUGCCAGUUCCUUCUCGUAUUAAGGGUUUGCACAUUAGACAUGCAAUCCCGGGGUGAAACUUGUCCAACUUAAGAAGAUCAUGAAUUAACUACUAAUUCCUCAUGAGCUAAAACAGAGGCACAAAAAGAGAAAUUUUUUUGAUUAAUUUCGAGAUGGUACACGAAAGUCUUUGUUAGGAAUGGCAGGUAAGUACCAUGUAUAGGAAGGUAUGGUGGACUCAUGUGGCAUAACUGGUUUAAAGGAUUUUGGAUGCACAAGCAGUCAUUCCGCUUAGUACAGGAGAAGGUUAGCAAAAGACUGGGAGCGACCAACUAAGAGAGCAAUGACGGUCAUAAUCAUGCAGAGCGACAAAGCAACAUUGAAUCAGGCAUGGAAGUUAUAUCGCUACUCAGAAAUAAAAGAUCAUCAAGGCUUGACAGACUUCCUUUACAGUCUUAAAUAUGCGUGAGCAUACGCCAAGUCAAUCAAAAUAAAUUCUCGAAGGAAGAUAUCACUAAAACAUACCACAUCAUAGGCAAACAAAUCAUGUUGGUACUCCAAUAACACAUUGGAAACCCCAGCUAUUUGAGACUAACCAUGAGAAAACAUGAAUUACCAAGCACCAUUAUACACGUAGCAUCUUUAUCAUAGACAUAUCAACCAAUGCAACAGAAGCAAACUCUCUUAAUAAGAUAAGCAUGAUAACUAAAGAGAGUUCAAGCAACCAACUAAACAAAAGCUCUUUAAAAAGAUAAGCAUGAAAACUAAGAGCUAAGCAUGAUAGUAGCUAUUGAAAGACAAAGAACACACACAACAAAGAUAGACAUGAAAAUUCUAUGUUGUGUUCUAGGUAGAAGUGGAGCGUGUUUCUCUCCCACACAAAGAAAGCUGAGUUCCGACUCGUUAUGAAAAGCUAAGGAAAACUAAAAGGAAACUAAAAGCAAGACGCUCCAAGCAUAGCACAUAACACAUGAAGUGAUAAAAAUAUAGUGGAACGAAAGACGAACUGAUAAUGUUGAUGGAGAAGGGGAUGCACGGGGGCAUCCCCAAGCUUAGACGCUUGAGUAUUCUUGAAUAUUUCUUGGGGGUGCAUGGGGGCAUCCCCAAGCUUGAGCGUUUGACACUCCUGAAUCUUUUUAUCAUCUUCCCUCGCACACUUGAAAACUCCCUUCAUACAUAACUCAUCAUAAUCUGAUUAGCGAGGUUAGUACCCAUAAUAGUAUAAUUGUUCCUUGCUGGAAAUAAAGAUAUUCUUGAAGGUCUACUGUUUCACAAGAUUGCCAAAAGGUUUUUGCAAAGAAAAAGCAAGCUCAAGGUUUGCAAAAUGAAGGAAAGGCAAAACAGGACAGAAUCUGUGAAAAACAGACCAGCAGGUAGUAAAUGAUUUUUUUGGGGCACUUCUCCAACUCUAAUAAAAAAACUCAGAACAGACGCCCGAAAGACAAUUGUAUAGAGCACGCUGUCGAAAAAAUUCAGACCAAAAAGAUGAUCUGGUGAUUUUAUACGAAUUUUUCUGUUCAAGGACAGAAUCUGUUUCCUGGACAGCACGUCACAACUUUUGAACUUUCUUGCAAUCGGAGGCUACACUUGGCACAAAGCUGAAAAGUAAAGAUACAAUGAUGAUGCUACUGUAGUAACAAACAUCAAGACCACUAAAAACUGAAAGCAAAGAUAACAAGGGUUGUCUCCCUAGAGCUCUUUCUUUAUAGCCAUAAAGAUAGGCUUAAGACUUUAAUGAUGCUCUCGUAGGAAUAAGAGUUGAAGAACAAAAGAGAGCAUCAAGAAGCAAAUACCAAAUACAUUUAAGCCUAACAUGAUUCCUAUGCAUAGGAAUAUUGCAAUAGAAUAAUUCAUUGAAGCAAAAAGCAAUUAGCAUAGGAAGGCAAAACAAGCAUAACUUCGAAAUAUUCACCAUAAAGAGAGGAAACUUCUUAUUAUUAAUAUAUUUAGAACCAAGUCUCCCUCUCUCAUUAUAAAUUUCAGCGGCAUCAUGGAUGAACUCAACAAUAUAAGCAUCACAUAAAGCAUUGUUACCAUGAUCCACAUGCAAAAAGGUACUCUUACUCUCCACAUACGCAUAAUCUUUCUCAUUGGUAAUAGUGGGAGUAGGACUAUCAUAAACAACUUGAACACUAUAGAUUAAUUGGGUCUUAGGAAGAUGGUGUUCAACAAGGGAGUAAUUCCCUCCAUGAUUAUGACAAGUUUCAUAAGGAUAAUUUCUCCUUAUGUCAUAGGUACCUUUAUAAUCACUAUAGAUUGGAGUUAUAACAUCAUCAUAGUAGAGAAGAGCAUUAUCAUUGCUAGCAACUAUAUUUGUAAACAUGUUGUCUUUAUUCUUACUAGUAAAAGAAUUAUCAAUUAUCACAUCACUAGUGGGUAAAGGAUUUGCAAUCCUAUCAUCCCCAAGCUUAGAGCUUUCCAUAUCAUCACUUUCAGAGUUGGUACCAAAAAGAUUUUCAAGAUCAUAAGUAGCAUUAUCAUCAUUUUCCCAAUCACAAUAAGUAACAUGCAUAUCAUAAUCAAAAUCAUCUUCAAUAGUACCUACGGACGUAUCAUCAAGAUGAUAAUUAAGGCAAUAAACUUCACCUUCUUCUUUAAACUUACAACCGUUAGGAUAAAAGUUGAUGGGAGGAAUAUGCUCAGGCCAGGUUGAUACCCAUUCUUCUUCCUUCUUGCUCCUCUUCCUCCUCCUCUUCUUUUUCUUCUUCUUCACCUUAGGAGGGAGUGGUUGGAGAUGAAGCUUCUCCACAUAUCCUGGUUUAUCAUUAGAAACAAUAGGGGAAACUUGGGAGAAACUCUCCUUUUUAUUAGCAGAAAUAUAAGAGACAUUUUUAUACUUUGGUAAAGUCCUCUCCUUUCUAAUCUUACUUAUGUAAUCAUUUUCAUGGCAAUUAACAACACAAUAGAGAUGACAAUUUUGCAAAGUGUUUUUUAUUCCUAUGGCAUUAACAUCUAGCCAAGAAGUCUUUUCUGAUAACUCCUCACACAUCAAAAAUAACAUAAGCUCAUCAUAAAGAUCAGAGGUGAUCAUGUUAUCACACAACUGGUUAACAAUUAUGUUUUGAAAGUUCAUGCAUUGAAAAUUAAAGUGACCCUCUAUACAACAAAGUUCACAAGUAAAAGGGUAAAGGUCACACAAUUCUCUAGCAAUUUCAUUUAAAUCUCUGACCCAAGUGAUUGUUCUUUCAUGCUUAUGUUGCUUACAAUACUUCUCUUCUUCAAUCAUAGGCCUUUCACAAGGUCUAUCCACUCCACAAAAAUUAACAUGCUUAUAUAAAACUUCAUUUUUAGGAAUUGGACCAUGCAUGUUGCAAUCAUCAUGAACAAUUUCAUUUUCUUUGCAGAUCUCUUUAAAAGGUUUAUGAUGCUCGACCAAUCCUCCUUAGGCAUAUUAAGAUGUGAAGCAAAAGAUUUGAGGAAAUCAACAAGGAGUUGAGAAUCAAGCCCAAACUUAUCACUAAACUUAUUAAAACUUGUAGUUUCAACAAAGGACUUAAUGCAAUCAUACUCAUAAAUUAUACCUGACUCUUUACCUUUGUCGAUCUCCCAAUCUUCAGUGUUGCGUUGAAUUCUUUCAAGGAAUUCCCAUUUAGCAUCAAUCUUUUCGUUUGUGAAAGAACCCAUAGAGGAAGCAUCAAGCAAAUCUUUAUCCUGUCGAGAGAGCCUCGCAUAAAAAUUAGUAAUAAUCAUAUCUUUGGGGAGCCCAUGGUUAGGGCAUUUUAGCAUUAACGUUUUCAGUCUCCCCCAAGCUUGAGCUAUGCUCUCUCCGUCAUGAGGAUAAAAAUUAUAAACAUAAUUCCUAUUCUCAUGGACUUCAUGAAGAGGAUAAAACUUGGAGUAAAAGAGAGACUGGAUCUCUUCCCACUCCAGCGGGUGAGAGUCAUUUAGUAGCCUAUACCAUUCCAAUGCUUUUCCUUUCACUGACAAGGCAAAUAAUUUCCUCAUGACAAACUCCCUUGAUACACCUGCAAGCUUAAAUAAUGAGCAUAGUUGUGACAGAUAUAGCAAGUGUUCACCGGGAUGUCUGUCUCCUGCAUAACGAUUAGCCAAAACAUAAUCGAUAAUACCAGCUGGUAUUUUAUAGGGCACAAUUUCAGUAGGGGGAGGAGCAACCACCACAGGUGUGGGGCGUCUUCCCGCAAGCAACGAUCCAAUAGCAAGGUUGUCCAUAAGCAUAACUAGUGAAAUAAAAACAAGAAACAAAAAGAUUUAAUUGCAAGAUCUAAAGAUAUACCUUCAAGCGCUCACCUCCCCGGCAACGGCGCCAGAAAUAGCUUGAUGUCUACACACGCUUCUACUCUUGUAGACUAUGUUGGGCCUCCAAGCGUAGAGGUUUGUAGGACAGCAGCAAUUUCCCUCAAGUGGAUGACCUAAGGUUUAUCGAACUCAGGGAAGUAGAGGUUGAAGAUGGUCUCUCUCAAGCAACCCUGCAACUAAGAUACAAGAAGUCUCUUGUGUCCCCAACACACCUAAUACACUUGUUAGAUGUAUAGGCGCACUAGUUCGGCGAAGAGAUGUUAAAUGGCAAGUGAUAUGGAUGGCAAAACAAAGUAAUAUAAAUCUGUAAUAAAAAGUGCAGCAAGCAAACAAGUGGUAAACAUGAGCACAGAUGGUAUUGCAAUGGUGGAAACAAGGCCUAGGGUUCAUACUUUCACUAGUGGCAACUCCCAACAACAUUAACAUAAUCGAAUCACAUGAUAUUUCCCAUAAAACAUGCAAAGGGGACGCACCCGGAGGUCAUUCCUUCGUGGUCAAGAGAGGACGAGAAUUAUGUAGGGCUACAAAAGCACACCUCAAAGUUCGUAGUUCUCAAUCUAAGGAUUUCCCAAUGUCACCGCGGCCAUCCAAAGAGAAUCCCAAAAUCACCACAACAUAUCUAAAGGAUAGUCAAAGACAAGCACCAAGAGACUCUCAAUCUUCAAUCAACACACAAGAGAGGAAAUCACUCAUGAAAAUAUUUUUCUAAUCCAUGUCCAAUAGACCGCUGUCACCUUGGUCUCGGGGAUUAUACUAGAUAAAGACAAGUGAGUACACCAAUCCAAUACAUAGAGGAAGGGGAAAUAUCAUGGGAUCACCCUAGAUUAACAUAGCCUAUGAUCACAACGAAGAUCACAUCAUGGGAGAGAGAAUUGACCACAUAGCUACUGGUAGAAACCUCAGCCCCGAGGAGGAACUACUCCUGCAUCAUGAAGGGAGGAAGCAACGUCGAUGGAGAUGAAUCCGGGGGCACUUCCCCGUCCCGGCAGGGUGCCGGCACAUGAAUUCUGGUCCCCCGAAGCUUGAUGGCGAUGGCGGCGGAGAUCGGAAUUGCGUCUGGAGAAAAGGGGUCCGGGAUCAGGGUUUCUGCGACGGGUGAUAAAUAUAUGCCAAAGGGGGGCAUCAGCGGAGGCCUGGGGGGCCCAGGCGCCCCCCAGCGCGGCCAGGAGGGGGGCCGCGCCACCAGGGCGCCUGGAGCCCUGGUGGCCCCCCUCCGGCUCUACUUCGGGUGCGUGGAAGCUUCCAGAACGCUGAUUUUUUAUAUAAUUUUUCUGGAAUUUUUCUGGCAGUUUUCGUAAUGGGAAAACCUGAAAUACAAAAAUAGCAGAAAACAGAAACUCGCACUGGGGUGCACUGAGUUAAUAGGUUAGUCCAAAUACGAUCAAAAGUGUAUAAAUAUCAUAGCAAUAUCACCCAAAAGAGGCAUGGAGCAAGCAGAAAUUAUAGAUACGUUUUGGACGUAUCAACAUCCCCAAGCUUAAUUCCUGCUCGUCCUCGAGUGGGUAAAUGAUAACAAGAAUAAUUUCUAUGGUGACAUGCUAUUAACCAUAUAGGACUUUUCAUAGUCACAUGGCAAAAGCUUACUGAGACAAUGAAUCUGUAGUAAUUAAGUCGCCUUGUGAGAAAAUCACCAAGAACUGAAAGUUUUACAACAUGAUACUGAAACAUCAAAUAGAUUUGUAAUGUGCAUGGUGUGCAAAUAUAAUAAAGUGAUAUCUCGCUUGCCCCCUUUAGUGAAGCAAAACAUAAAUGCAGGGGCACCUCCAAGGUUCAAGUGAUGACUAGAUACAAUGAUUUCAGAAUAAAUGAUAUCACAAUCAUGCAAAAGACAAUGCUACUUUGGGACAAUGCACCUUACACUCAGAAUGACAAUCAUGCUCUCAGUAGUUGGUGCUUUAGAGAAGGUGGAGACUCUCGAACCGUGGCUUUUGUUGGCAAGGUUGAAAACCCGUGGUCGGAAACAAAGACAAAGCAUGUACCAGAGCUCUUGGUUUUAAAAACAGAAGUAAAAAUUAUUUUUUUGAGAGGUGCAUAUUUCGUCAACGAAUGCUAGCAGAUAACUCAAUCACUUCUUGAGCUGGACAAGUUUCGAGGAACAGCUCCCGUAUGAGGACGAUAAUAUCCUCUUAAUCUCCUUUGUUUAUCACUGCCAAAGUUUUCUGAUUUCUCAUGAACAAAGCGUGAAGGAGGGUUUGUUUGUUGUAUUAUCUUUUAUGAGCCGGGCGCACUCUAUGCCAGUUCCUUCUCGUAUUAAGGGUUUGCACAUUAGACAUGCAAUCCCGGGGUGAAACUUGUCCAACUUAAGAAUAUCAUGAAUUAACUACUACUUCCUCAUGAGCUAAAACAGAGGCACAAAAAGAGAAAUGUUUUUGAUUAAUUUCGAGAUGGUACACGAAAGUCUUCGUUAGGAAUGGCAGGUAAGUACCAUGUAUAGGAAGGUAUGGUGGACUCAUGUGGCAUAACUGGUUUAAAGGAUUUUGGAUGCACAAGCAGUCAUUCCGCUUAGUACAGGAGAAGGUUAGCAAAAGACUGGGAGCGACCAACUAAGAGAGCAAUGACGGUCAUAAUCAUGCAGAGCGACAAAGCAACAUUGAAUCAGGCAUGGAAGUUAUAUCGCUACUCAGAAAUAAAAGAUCAUCAAGGCUUGACAGACUUCCUUUACAGUCUUAAAUAUGCGUGAGCAUACGCCAAGUCAAUCAAAAUAAAUUCUCGAAGGAAGAUAUCACUAAACCAUACCACAUCAUAGGCAAACAAAUCAUGUUGGUACUCCAAUAACACAUUGGAAACCCCCAGCUAUUUGAGACUAACCAUGAGAAAACAUGAAUUACCAAGCACCAUUAUACACGUAGCAUCUUUAUCAUAGACAUAUCAACCAAUGCAACAGAAGCAAACUCUCUUAAUAAGAUAAGCAUGAUAACUAAAGAGAGUUCAAGCAACCAACUAAACAAAAGCUCUUUAAAAAGAUAAGCAUGAAAACUAAGAGCUAAGCAUGAUAGUAGCUAUUGAAAGACAAAGAACACACACAGCAAAGAUAGACAUGAAAAUUCUAUGUUGUGUUCUAGGUAGAAGUGGAGCGUGUUUUGUUGGGGAACGUAGUAAUUUCAAAAAAAUUCCUACGCACACGCAAGAUCAUUGUGAUGCAUAGCAACGAGGGGGAGAGUGUUGUCUACAUACCCUUGUAGACCUGAAGCGGAAGCGAUCACAACGUAGAGGAAGUAGUCGUACGUUCUCCUCGCGAUCCAACCGAUCCCGGCGCCGUUACUCUGGCGCCCCCGAGUUCUUGGCACACGUACAGCUCGGUGACGCUCCUCGGGCUCCGAUCCAGCAAAGCUCCGGGGAGAGAGUUCCGUCAGCACGACGGCGUGGUGACGAUCUUGAUGUUCUACUAUCGCAGGGCUUCGCCUAAGCGCUGCAACAAUAUGACCGAGGUGGAAUAUGGUGGAGGGGGGCACCGCACACGGCUAAGGAAUGAUCUCAAGGAUCAACUUGUGUGUCUAGAGGUGCCCCCUUGCCCCCGUAUAUAAAGGCUCAAGGGGGAGGGGGCGGCCGGCCUAGGAGGAGGCGCGCCAAGGGGAGUCCUACUCCAACCGGGAGUAGGACUCCCUCCUUCCUUGUUGGAGUAGGAGAAGGGGGAAAGAAGGGGAGAGGAGGAAGGAAAGGGGGGCCGCACCCCUUGUCCAAUUCGGACCAGAGGGGGGCUGCGCGCCUCCUUCCUUUCCACCUUUUUCCUCUAUUUCCGUAUGGCCCAAUAAGGCCCAAUACUCUUCCCCGUAUUUCCGUAACUCCCCGGUACCUCCGAAAAUACCCGAAUCACUCAGAACAUUUCCGAUGUCCGAAUAUAGUCGUCCAAUAUACCGAUCUUUACGUCUCGACCAUUUCGAGACUCCUCGUCAUGUCCCGAAUCUCAUCCGGGACUCCGAACUCCUUCGGUACAUCAAAAUACAUAAACUCAUAAUAACUGUCAUCGAAACCUUAAGCGUGCGGACCCUACGGUUCGAGAACAAUGUAGACAUGACCGAGACACAUCUCCGGUCAAUAACCAAUAGCGGGACCUGGAUGCCCAUAUUGGCUCCUACAUAUUCUACGAAGAUCUUUAUCG
rnacentral:lncRNA from 1 species